GAUGUAAGUACCUGAACAUUAUUUUGGUUCUCUGUUGCAGAAUUCUUAUGGGCUGGUUGUGGUAUAGAGAAGUAGUAAUCCAUAAGCAAGCAUUGAUUUUAUCAAAUUAAUGAAAUUCAUUAUCUGUUGUUUAACCUGUGCUUUCCAAUAGCGUAUAUUAGAUACUUGCUUUAUUUCAUAAUACUACCUACAUGCUUCCUAAUGGGAGGCAAAAACUGAAAGUCUGUUGCCCAAGCCUUCUGCAGAGAAGAGAUAUUCUAAACAGAAUAACCACUACCAUGUUGGUUUUAGGUUUGCUACAAACAAUUAGCUCCGGUUAGGAAAACAAUGUAAAUGGGUACUUAUAGGACCUAUGAACAUAACUGAAACAUAAUGUACAGUUCAGUUCAGAAAUAUGUUUUUAGAAAAAAAAUCUUCGUAUGAUGAAAAGGGCCUAUUUUGUGCAUCUCCUGACUAGAAGUUAUGCUAGUUUGUAUUAUUCUGCAAUAAAAUUAUGUGCUAUGCUACACUUCAUCUAAUUAAGCAUCGACAUAUGCUGCAAUUAAAAAAAUCCAGUGAUUUCUUCAAACAUAUGCCUCGUGUUUGAACUGAAUAAGGCACCUGAUGAGGGUAGAAGUUGCUUCCUGAAGCUUUGGUCAAAGUGCUUCUAGAGUACUUUUAGUUUCACUUUGUGGUUUCCCCCUCUAAAAACAAGAUGGCAUUUGCUUGGUAGUUGUCAAUGUUUUCAUCAGCUAUCCUGAUGCCAUGAUUCUAAAAAAAAUGAUGGUUCUAAGAAAAUAUAUAACCAUGUCCAUCUUAUUUAUGCUUCUGUAUUGCAGGUUUAUGUUUAGAGCAUGGUUUUCUAACUCACACUUCAUCUUCGAGCCAGCAGCCCGUGGGUUGCAAACACCUUCCCCCACAACCAUCUUCCCCACUAAGAGAAGCUUCCUCCCCAGGUCUUUCGUCGCCGCAGCAUCCCUCCCUCGUACAGGACAUUAGGUACCUGAUUGAUUCCUCUACUCUGUAUUUUUUUCUACUUGCUUCUGGUGUCUUGUCUUGAGCAGGGCAAUAGUAUUUAGUGGAUCAUAAAUUGUUGUCUUAUGCCAACACACUUUUGUGCCCCUUCAGAUUUGUAAGUGCUGCCUCUUGAACCUAACACAGUGCCCUUUAUUUAAGGUUUUAUUAGGAAAUUAAUAUGACUAGCACUAAAAUCUGACUUUUGUGUCCAUUUUAUAGACCAGUACAUAUAUAAGUUCUAGACAUGGAUAACUAGUAUAGAAGGGUCCAUUUUAUAGACAUCAUUAUAUUUCUUUCCACUCUAUUGCUUUCCAUAUAGACAUAACUCUAGAUAUAUAUAACUAGCACUAAAAUCUGACUUUUGUGUUACUGCUGGUAGGCUCAAAUGGAGGCCUAUGUUGCUCAACCAAUAGAAGAAGGGCAAGAUCCGAAGACUCCUGUUGAAGCUGUAGCUCACGUUCUGCCAAAAUCAACUUUUUUUCUUAAUGGUGUUGUAUUUUAAAACUUGUGGAAUGCUUGUGAUAUUGCAGUCAUAUGUGGAGAUGUUCAUUCAUUUGAAUCAGAUUUUUGUAUGAGCUAAAGAUAUAUGAUAUAAUUAUAUGUGCUAAAAUAUUGCAUACUGUAAAUUCUCAGAGCUAUAAAGUUGGACCAAAAAGAAAAAUGAAAAUAAAAUAAUUGGCCAAGCAAUAUGAGGCCAAAAAAGCCUGUGGCCCAUGAAGAGGUUGGCUACUAUGUGGGCUUUAGCAGGCCAAAUUUAUUUUGUUACGUUUUUCUAUGUGGCAAGGUCUAAGCUUUUGUGACAACAAAUUAGUGUCAUGAACUUAUAUGACACUAAAAUCCAGUGUCAUAAACUUGUGACAAGAAGUAUAUAAAUGUCAUAAAACAAAUUUGUGACACUGGUUUUUUGACGUUACAAUUUUCGUCAACCCUAUGUCAUAAACCUUAAGUUAUGACAUUAAUUCCAUAUAUUGUGACAUAAAUAGAACGUCAAAAAACCACUCAUUUCUUGUAGUGGGUGUAUGGUGAUGAUGGUGAUAACAAUGGUGAAAGUCUAAUUCUACUUUUGCUCUUUAAGGGGAUACAUACCUUCCUUGCUUUUUGAAACUUUAUGAGGAGAAUGAGAUGCUCUUCUUUUUCUUUUCUCUCAGGAGGGUAUCUUGUACCCCUAAUUCUACUGUUGGACACUUGUCCAUUUUUACCUCUCGUCUCACUUUUUCUUUUCUUUCGAGGUUCCGGGUACUUGCCCCUUUUUAUUUCCUCGUAUCUUUUCUUCUCUUUUUUUAGAACACUCAUCUCUUGAGAUAAUAUAGCAAGUGGUAGUAACAAGAUAACUUGAGCAUUUAUUUCACAAAGGAAAAACAGAAAUAUUUUUGGUUAUUCUCUCCCGGAUUAGGAGUAGAAUAUUUUUAGGUGGUUCUGGAGAUGAAAAUGGGUGGAUAUAUGUAGAUGGUACUUCCAGAGUAGAAGUAGCAUAUAUGAGUGAAUGUGCAAGUGAAAUCUUGAUUUUAAUUACAUGACAAGCUCCUAAGGGUCUACACAGCUUGACCACACUCAAUGCUCAUAAGCAGUAAAUAGUAAAUGUGUGGCUCAAAGUCUAGCAAGCAUGUAUAUAUGGUUGUGGUAGGAAUUUAAACUCUUAUCAAACAGGAACUCAUCAUGCAAUAUUUUGAAGAUUUUCAAAGAUAACAUUCUCCAGAAUUCUAGCAUCUCUAGGAACAGAUAAACAGCAGCUCAACCUUCCCAUAUCGUAUCCGUUAACAACUUAGACUUCAGAUCAAGUUUUCAUCCCACAAGUUUAGGUCUAAAGCAAGCUUUAAAUUAUAACAGUUAUGUCUAAACUUGAGAGAGAACUUAAAAUGUGCAAAUUAGGCAGAGCAAUUAUUCAUCAUAUCCAUGCUAGAGUUUUAUUAUUAAGAUACAGAUUAGCAUAGCCACUUUAUUUAUUUAUUAAACACACUAAGCAAAAGAUAUAUAUAUAUAAGCACAAAAUCUUUUUUUGGUUUUUCCUGGUUUAUGUAUAUUUAUAUUCUAAAAUAGUAUAAGUAUAAAGAUAGAUAGAUAGAAAUACUUAGCGGGAUAAAUGGGGGUGCUCUCCCCCAAGCUGAAUUUUGACGUAAUUUCUCUUGAUGUAGCUAGCAGGUGGCAAAGGUGUAUUUGAAAGUUAGCAGCAUUCUGACAGCGAUUAGAAUGUCCUCCGUCUGCUAGUCUUCUUGAUUCUUAAAUUCUGUGGAGCUCAAAUAGACAACAAAACUUGUGGAACUGAUUAAGUGUUAGCAUAAAUAUCUAGCCAUUAUCAUGUUGAGACUCCUUAAUAAUUAUUACUCCCUGUUUUUAUAUUUUCAUUUUAUAAAGCAGAAAAGAAAUAUUUAUUUUAUUAUUAUGCCACCACAGUGAAUGUACUUAUGAGUUUUAUGCCACUCGUAGGCUUACUGUUUUUUAACAUUUUUAUUUUCUUUUUAGGAUAGUAUGAACAUGAUUAACUAAGCAAAAUAUUUAAAAUAAUUGAAAGGAAAAGGAUAACUACCAAGUUUACCUCUUGGCAAGGCGUUCGGUGUUUUUAAGUCCUCUGAACGGGACUCUCCAUUUUCUCAAUUGUCCUGGGAUUCAUUGGGUGGCGGAGUCGGUACUUCCGGCAGCGCCUCCUCUUCAUGUAUAGUUAUCUUCUCUUUCCAUACCUAACUCGGUGCUUCGGCCUCCUCUGGAUAAUUCUGUUUAAACAGUACGUCUUCUGACCUUACAACUUCUCCUUCAUAGUCUGCCCAUCCGUCCUUGAUGAUUUGCCUCCUCUGGUUGCGGUUGCGUCGUUUUCUUACCUGCUUAGAUUCUUCAACGAUAUAGUUAGGGUCAGUAAAAUAACGGUGUACCUUCUCUGAGGGGAAGUGCAUAUGGACUUCUCUAGUUCCAAUGUAGAUGAUUGCUUUAACGGUACUGAGGAAUGGUCUUCCAAGGAUGAUGGGUGGAUCGUACUCGUCUUCUCCCAUGUCAAUAACCUGAAAGUUUGUGUAGACAAAAUGAUCGUCUAUUUUGACUGGGACAUCAGUUACUGUUCCAUUAACCUCUCGAAAUGUCUGAUCUGCCAUCUGGAGCUGAAUGUAUGUUGGUUUUAAGGGCAUGGUUCCGAACAAGAGCCGAUAGGUGACUGCGGCCAUUAUGUUGACGCCCGAUCCGGUGUCGCAAAAUGUCUUGUAGAAGCUGUAUCCAUUUAUGGAGCAGUAGAUGCUUGGCAUUCUUGGGUCGUCUUUCUUGGUCAAAAAUGGUGACUUAAGUUGAUGAUCUUGGCCUCCAUGAACUGCAGUGACCAUCUUAGCUGAUUCGGUCCACACUUGCUUGUUCCUGUUCCUCCUGUUGGUCCUCUUCCUUGAUUCACGUCUGGAUUGAUCUGGGAUUUGUGUAGUCUUGUUCUUGAUUCAUAUACUUGUGCUUGUGUAGUUGCUCUUGUAAUUAGUUAGCUUGUGUAGCUUGCUAGUUACCUUCUUGCUUGUGUAGCUAGAAGUAGUUUCCUUGCGUGACUAAUUUGGUUUGUGUAACCUUGUUUGUUACAUCACUUAGUUUGUGUAGCUAAGUAAUUUGCGCUGUCUAAUUUGGCAUUGGUUUCCUUUUUAUUGAGCUUGCUAGUGAGCUUAGGCUUUGUGCGCUUUGCCUCACUAGUUUGUGUAGGAGCUCCCCCGGUUUGCAAAGUACUAGUUGCAUAGGUUUGUGUGACCUUGCUCCUAGAAUUGUUUAGGUGAGCUCUUGCUAAGGUAGCACAUUGCAUGCUUGUGUAGGAUCUUUUUAAGGUGCUAGAGAACUUAGAUAGAGGGGUGUAGUCUUAGCUAGACCGAUAGUUUUAAUUCCGCACUUAUUUUGGUUAGCCGGCGCGAUAAGUUUUAGAAAGGACUAUUCACCCCCCCCUCUAGUCCGCCAUCUCGACCCUUCAACAUGGAGCUAAAAGUAGCUAGAGAUAAGAGGAAGAUGCAACUCUCUAAGCUACAAUAAUGGAGAGAAAAAGCAUAUCACAAUGCCACGAUUUAUAAAGAGAGAGUAAAAAGAUGGCAUGACAAAAGGAUCAAAAAGAAGUUCACCCUAGGCGAUAAGGUAUUACUUUUUAAUUCUAGGGUGAAGCUCUUCAGGCAUGGAAAACUUUGAAGCAAAUGAGAAGGACCAUUCGAGAUGGUGAGCUCAUCGUCGCAUGGAGCCGUCACACUUCGCAACAAUGAAGGUACGUGUUGACGGUCCUUAAUGCUCACAUUUAACCGUCAACUAAUCAUGGAAAAGGAUCCAAAUGCAACCAACAACCAGACUUAGGGUUUUAUCUGACAGGAUUCCACGAGUUUUGGUGUUUGUCUAUUUCUGCAGGGGGUUAUCAGGAAAUAUGGAAGAAAGGCCCACAUGUCGGGUUUACAUAGAGAUAUUAAUGUGCCGUGCAAUUUUCUAUCAUCUAGAAGACUCCAGAAGCCACGGGAACGAACGGGAAGCCGAGAGGGCUCAGGGAUAGGGCGCCCGCCCACCUUUUUCCACCAAUCACGAUCAACUUUGCGGAUCAUGCUCCACCGACCUAAGGGAUCAAAGGAAAACCGUGCGAUUGAUGUCGGUUUAAUCCGACGGCCCAGAUUCAUCUGAAAAGACUAUAUAAGCAAGGUCCCCUGGCCCCUGGAGAUCAUACCUCUUCUACAGAAUCAAAGCUAGGGUUUUAAUUAUUUAUCCAAGUAGAGAGGAUCCCUCUAGUUCAUCUAGUUCUAGCUCUAGUUCAUCUAGUUCUAGUUCUAGUUCAUCUAGUUCUAGUUCCUCUAGUUCUAGUUCUAGUUAGUUCUAGUUGUAAUCUAGAAAAUAGGGAGAGAGAAGAGGAGAGCGGAGGAGGAGCCGGAUCUGUUGGAUCUUCCUCAACAUUAUACUUUUGCUGCAACUGGUUCGUUCUUCAUCGUUCUCCAAGUUCUUUAAUUCAUAAUUCCUAACUUCUUUAAUUACUUUUAUUUACAUUCAAGUUAUUUAUUGGAUUCCCACUUGCAUCAAGUGCUCUAGUCUUUAUAACGCUAGAGUAGUAAUUAAUAGAUUAGACGUGGUGUUUAGUCUUGCAAUUACCUAGAAUUGCACCCAAUCCUGCGGAUUGUUGUGGUAGCCCUAGGGUAGUGACAACCCUAAAGGUCGAUGUAUUCCACCUCGUUUGGAUCGGUGUUUGUAGGACCGUAGUUAGAGCUUCCUAGCCCCCUUCUCAUCUCUUUGUGUGGUUAGUGUUCUGAUGUCCCAAAUAAAUAAUCUUUGAAGUAAUUCUUGAUUCUUAGACCAACUAGAGAACUCUUAGGAAACUUUCUCUCUUCCCACCAAAAAUAAUUAUAUAGUUAUCCUUGGGCGAUCAUGAAUCUUAAUUAGUACACUCACGUUCCCUGUGGAAAAUCGAUACUCUAGAAUACUCCCGGGUGAAAGCUACAUCGGUAUCCGUGCGCUUGCAGAUUUUUCUGUUUGCGUUUAAAAUACCCAACAAGCUUUCUGGUGCCGUUGCCGGGGAACGGUAGUUGUGCUAGUUUCGAACCAAGUCGUCCGUGUAUCCUUUUUCUUUUUCCUUUUUUACCACACUCACCUUACCAUUUUCAUCAUACCACAUGGAUUUCACUCCAAACAUUAAUGAGCAUGGAAUUUAUUUCAUAGCCACUUCGUUUACUCCAUGCUCAUAUGUAACAUCUUCCCAAUCCAUUGGUGUCUCCAACAUCAUCACAUUCGAGAUCUCCAACCCCCUCUUCUUUUCUAUUUAUGAAAACUUUAAAAGGGCGGUUGUCGAUGCAUAUGUCUAUAAUAAAUAUUGCAGAUCUCGUUGAGUUGAUAUAGGUCAGCGUUGGAGGGGAAACCACUUCGCCGACAUAAAUUGAUGGUUUCCCAAGGACAAGCUUAGUGUCCUAAAAUAAGCACUGAUUAGAUCGUAACAUGAGCUUUGAAUUAUUUGCAUCAUUACCUUGUGUUUUGAGCAUAUAAGGAUAAUUGUAAAAAAAAUUCCUUCGGGUAUUCUUGUCACUAACCUUUCCAGGAUUGGAGCAAGAAGAUCGGAUGAAUGACAAGCACAAGGUAUGUCCAACCAAUCAUCAUACAAUAUUGAAUUAAAUUCAUCCAAACUUGAAUUUUGCAAAAUUCAAGCUUGGGGGAGUACUUUACAUAAAAACAUCUUUUGUCAUGUUGCUAUGUUGGUUGUCCCUACCUUUGAGACAUGCUCAAUUUGUUAAAUACUAAUCACACUACUUCAUCUCCACUUGAGUAGAACUCUAUAAAUGCUCUCAUGCUACCUUUAUUUGCUUUAGUAUAUGUCUAGGUUUGGAGUAGUUUCAUUUAUCUCUUAAUUAAGCAUGGUGCUUAGUUCAGGAAUGAUGAUCUUACUUCCAAAGGAUUUUAAAUUAAGCAUGGUGCUUAGGUUAAAAUGCCCUCCUAAAUCAAAUUAGACAUGGUGUCUAGGUUGAUUUUUGAGCCGAUAGUAUGCUAUAGUAGAUAUUGGAUAUUUUGUUGGACUAACCCCUGCAGGAAAACUUUCAAUAUCGACCUGGGAGGUCCUGAGAUAAACUCACAUUGGAGACAAAGAGAGAGACACGUGAAAUUUAACAAUUUACACAAGGAAGGCAUAGCUCACAAGAGAUGAUCCAUGGAGGGUGCCACAAACACGAUGCACAACUGCUAAGAAAGGAAAGCUUCCACAAGGUGAUACUGUACCAUCACUCUUCAAGUAAGGUAACAUCUUGAGGUACUUGACUAUCACUUUUUAUAAGCUUCUCCUUGGUUCUGGCGUUCACAUGAAUAAAAGAGAGAAACAUGUAUGAUUUACAACUCUAGAUUAACCAACCCAAUCGAUUCAACAAGUUUAGUCCUUCCACCUUUGUGAUCCCAUACUCCUAAUAUGAGCUAAAAUGUUGCACACGCAAUCUUUGGAAGAUAUAUAAAAAAAGAUAAGUAUAGAUAGAUUAUCUUUCCAUUAGGUUGAGCAAUCUGAUCUGACAAAUGUUUUAAAUGCUACACUCAUGAUCUUAUUACCCAUCAGAACAAAUACACUUUUGGUUCUGUUGGUGUUUUCCACCAACAGGUCCCAUGCACUUGAUCUCUGCCUUGUCUCUAUGAGCAGGUACACUUCGAGCAAAAUAUGAAGGAGUUUUACAACUCCCAGACUCCACCAAAUGAAGAACCUAGAUCUACGAGCACAAACACACUGGAGAUACUGGACACUCAGGCAAUCAAUGCCCUGAGAUGCUUGAGGACGUAACUACUGGAGUAACCCCGUUGUGGAAGUAAUUACUGACCUUCUGCCGGUCAAGAGAGACAAUCCAGGACGCCCCGUCAUCCCGAUCUCCAUCGGCAUGAAGGACUUCCUAGAAGCACUCUGCGACUUUGGCUCCAGCGUCAACAUUAUGCCCAGGGUACUCUAUGAAAAAUUCUUUACACAUCCUUUACUAGAAACAACCAUGUGUUUGUAGCCUGCAGAUCAGACACUAAGUUUCCCAAAGGGGAUAUUGAAGAACCUCUGCGUCCGAGUUGGUACCUUGUUUGCCCCAGUAGACUUCGUGGUGAUAGGGACUGGUACUGAUGAGAGGGCACCCAUCAUCCUAGGGAGGCCAUUCCUGAACACCUCAGGAGCUGUCAUCUACGCUAGUGCUGCCAAGAUCAGUUUCUACAUCAAGGGGAGGAAGCAGACGUUUUCCUUCAAGAACAAGAAUACACAAAUCUCAGCGCAAUCCCGACAUGAACCAAGGAAGAUGACCAACAGGAGGAACAGGAACAAGCAAGUGUGGACCGAGUCAGCUAAGAUGGUCACUGCAGUUUAAGGAGGUCAAGAUCGUCGACUUAAGUCACCAUUCCUAACCAAAAAGGACUACCCAGCUCCAGAUGGCAGAUCAGACACUCCGAAAGGUUAAAGGUUAUUGACAUGGGAGAAGACGAAUACGAUCCACCCGUCAUCCUUGGAAGACCGUUUCUCAGCACCGUUAAAGCAAUCAUCUGCAUUGAAACCGGAGAAGUCCACAUGCACUUCCCCUCUGAGAAGGUACGCUGCUAUUUUACUGACCCUAACCAUAUAGUUGAAGACUCUAAGCAGGUCAGGACAAGAAGAAGACGACGCAACCGCAGUCAGAGAAGGUAAAUCAUCAAGGAUGGAUGGGCAGACUACAAAGGAGAAGUGGUAAUAUCUGAAGGCAUACUGCUUGAACAGAACUGUCCUGAGGAGACCGUAGCACCGAGUCAGGUGUGGAGAGAGAAGAUAGUUAUACACGAAGAAGAAACGCCGCCGGAACCACCGACUACGCCAUCCAGCGAAUCUCAGGACGACCGAGAAAAUGGAAAGUCCCGUUCGGAGGACUUAAAAACACCGAACGCCUUGCCAAGAGGUAAACUUGAUAGUUAUCCUUUUCCUUUCAAUUAUUUUAAAAUAGUUUGCUUAGUUAAUCAGGUUCAUAUCAUCUUGAAAAGAAAAUAAAAAUGUUAAAAAUAGUAAGCCCCAUGUAAGUAUGCUCAUGGCAUAAAAACCAUAAGUACAUUCACUAUGGUGGCAUAAAAAUAAAAUUAAUAUAUUUCUGUCCUAUAAAAAUGAAAAUAUAAAAAUAAAUUUAUGAUCCUACCGAAGAAAGUAAUAUUUAUUAGAGGAAGUUCAACAUGAUAACGGCUAAGAGAUUUUAUGCUAACACUUAACUAGUUCCACAAAGCUUUGUUGUCUAUUUGAGCUCCACAGAAUUCAAGGAUCAAAGAAGACUAGCAGACUGAGGACAUCCUAAUCGCUGUCAGGGUGUUGCCGACAUUCAAAUACACCUCCACCAUCUGCUAGCUACACCGAAAGAAAUUACGUCAAAAUCCAGCUUGGAGGAGAGCACCCCCAUUUAUCCAGCUAAGCGUUCCACUUAUGUUUAUAUUUUACUCAAAUAAUAAAAAGAUGCAUAAUCAUAAAAACCCAAAUAAAGAUUUUGUGCUUAUAUAUAUAUCUUUGCUUAGUUUGCUAAAUAAAUAAAUAACUAAAUAAAGUUUGCUAUGAACCCUCAUGAUAAGCUCUCACAUGGAAAUGAUGAAUAGUUACUCUGCCAUGACUAGUUCUCAAAAUUGAAAUCUCUCUCAAGUUUAGGCAUGACUGUUAUUAAUUAAGAAUUGCUCUAAAUCUGAACUUGUGGGAAGAGUACUUGAUCUAAAGUCUAAGUCGUUAACGGAUACGAUAUGUGAAGGUUGAGCUGUUGUUUAUCUGUUCUUAGAGAUGCUAGAAUUCUGGAGAAUUUUAUCUUUAAAAAUCUUUAAAAUAACACAUGAUGAGUUCCUGUAUGAUGAGAGUUUAAAAUCCUACCACAGCCAUAUAUACAUACUUGUCAGACUAUGAACCAUACAUAUUUACUUUUUACUGCUUAUGAGCAUUGAGUGUGGUCAAGCUGUGUAGACCCUUAGGAGCUUGUCAUGUGGUUAAAUCAAGAUUCACUUGCACGUUCACUCACACAUGCUGCUUCUACUCUGGAAGUACGCAUCCACAUAUAUCCACCCAUUUCCAUCUCCAGAACCAUCCAAAAAUAUUCUACUCCUAAUCCGGGACAGAAUAGCCAAAAACAUUCUCCUAUUUCUGUUUUCCCCUAUGAAAUAAAUGCUCAAGUUAUUUUGGUUACUACCACUUGCUACAUUAUUCUAGGAGGGUGAGUGCUCUGAAAAAAAGGAAAAAUACGAGGAAAUAAAAUGGGGCAAGUGCCCGGAACCUCGAAGAAAAGAAAAAGUGAGACGAGAGGUAAAAAUAGACAAGUGUCCGAUAGUAGAAUUAGAGGUACAAGAUACCCACCUGAGAGAAAAGAAAAAUAAAAUAUAGAGUAUCUCAUUCUCCUCAACAAGUUUCAAAAGAGCAAGAAAGGUAUGUAUCCCCUCAAAAGAGCACAAGUAGAAUUAGACUUUCACCAUUGUUAUCACCAUCAUCACCAUACAUCAUUCAUUCGCCACACAUGCACAUCUUGAUUUGACUUAUUGACUUGUUUCUUUGGAUUCACGGUUUAACUAUGCAAUAAAUGUCUUGUAAGUAUGUAUUAGCUGUCUCCCACCUAUGAGCUCCAGAUAUCAAAACCUUAUUAGAGUAGGGUGAGAGAGAAGGCAAUGCCACUAUGCCUCAUACCAAAAAUACCACAUACUUUGAGAGAAGGCAGACACCAUUACUGCCUUGGUAAGGAUCCAGAAAUACCACAAAAGAGAGACUAGAGAGAGUCAUACAAGGAAUCUCUGAGUUUUAUUUGAAAAUCUGCAAAAACUCCAGAGCUAUAGUUAAUCGAAGAACAAGAGACAUGGCGCUUGAUUAGACCGUUCUAUCUUUUAACUGCUCAAGACACAAGUGACGGUUGCAAGCCCCAUGGUGGAAGGUAAAAUGAGUAAGUUUAAAUCUUAACAGUUUACCCUAACCCAAAGAUGAGAUCUUGUUUGAACGCAUAUGUACCUUUAAGGCAUGAAACCACUGUAGAAUUCUUGAGUUCAUCUUUGCUCAGGGACGAGCAAAGGUUAAGCUUGGGGGAGCUUGUUGACGGUCCUUAAUGCUCACAUUUAACCGUCAACUAAUCAUGGAAAAGGAUCCAAAUGCAACCAACAACCAGACUUAGGGUUUUAUCUGACAGGAUUCCACGAGUUUUGGUGUUUGUCUAUUUCUGCAGGGGUUAUCAGGAAAUAUGAAAGAAAGGCCCACAUGUCAGGUUUACAUAGAGAUAUUAACGUGCCGUGCAAUUUUCUAUCAUCUAGAGGACUCCAGAAGCCAUGGGAACGAACGGGAAGCCGAGAGGGCUCAGGGACAGGGCGCCCGCCCUACUCCUUAGGGCGCCUGCCCACCUUUUUCCACUAAUCACGAUCAACUUUGCGGAUCGUGCUCCACCGACCUAAGGGAUCAAGGAAAACCGUGCGAUUGAUGUCGGUUUGAUCCGACGGCCCAGAUUCAUCUGAAAAGACUAUAUAAGCAAGGCCCCCUGGCCUCUGGAGAUCAUACCUCUUCUACAGAAUCAAAGCUAGGGUUUCAAUUAUUCAUCCAAGUAGAGAGGAUCCCUUUAGUUCAUCUAGUUCUAGCUCUAGUUCAUCUAGUUCUAGUUCUAGUUCAUCUAGUUCUAGUUCUAGUUCCUCUAGUUCUAGUUCUAGUUAGUUCUAGUUGUAAUCUAGAAAAUAGGGAGAGAGAAGAGGAGAGCAGAGGAGGAGCCGGAUCUGUUGGAUCUUCCUCAACAUUAUACUUUUGCUGUAACUGGUUCGUUCUUCAUCGUUCUCCAAGUUCUUCAAUUCAUAAUUCAUGAGUUAUUUAAUUACUUUUAUUUACAUUCAAGUUAUUUAUUGUAUUCCCGCUUGCAUCAAGUGCUCUAGUCUUUAUAACGCUAGAGUAGUAAUUAAUAGAUUAGACGUGGUGUUUAGUCUUGCAGUUACCUGAAAUUGCACCCAAUCCUGCGGAUUGUUGUGGUAGCCCUAGGGUAGUGACAGCCCUAACGGUCGACGUAUUCCACCUCGUUCGGAUCGGUGUUUGUAGGACCGUAGUUAGAGCUUCCUAGCCCCCUUCUCAUCUCUUUCUGUGGUUAGUGUUCUGAUGUCCCGAAAUAAAUAAUCUUUGAAGUAAUUCUUGAUUCUUAGAUCAACUAGAGAACUCUUAGGAAACUUCCUCUCUUCCUACCAAAAAUAAUUAUAUAGUUAUCCUUGGGAGAUCUUGAAUCUUAAUUAGUACACUCACGUUCCCUGUGGAAAAUCGAUACUCUGGAAUACUCCCGGGUGAAAGCUACAUCGGUAUCCGUGCGCUUGCAGAUUUUUCUGUUUGCAUUUAAAAUACCCAACAGUACGUUAUUCAAGGUAAAUGGUCAACGCCUUAAAUUAUUUUUAGAGCCCAACAAUGAAUUAGAGGAAGUAGACAUAAUCACUUUCUUUCUCAAUUAGAAUAUUUGGGACCAACCAUUUUAUUUUUGAAUUAUCAAGGAAAAUCAACUUUUUCUGCAUAAAAAAUUAAUUAAUAAAGUAUACAAAAAAGUGGAGGCAGAGGAGGCUCAAAGGGCGGGCGGUCGCCCAAAACCCUUGGGGUGCCCGCCCCUCCCCUUAGGGCAUUCGCCGCCUCCUUUCUCCAUUUACAUCCUGAGACCUUCCUUGUUUAUAAAAAGUAUAUCUUUGGAAAUUUUUCCCAUCUUUUGUCUGGAUACCUUCCAAAAAUACUUUUCCAGACCCCUAUAUAAGCAACCCAUGCCUAUGGUCUAAUCUCAUCCCAUCAUAGCUUUUCUCUCCUCUUGCUUAGAAGCUAGCUACGCCUCUCUACUCAAUAAUGGCUAAAGAAAAUUCAGAGAAGAGAAUGAUUUCCUAUGGGAUCGAUCUCAACACCAUCCCCAUAGAAGAACCUGAGUGCAAAGCUAUCAUUCCUAUAGAUGAACCUAUCCCGCUAGCCACCAUUCCACCACAACCGCACUGCUAUGAACGUCUUAUUAUGCUCAGCCAUUCGCACCAAGCCUCUCCUCUUGGAAGGAGCUCCGCCGAAGGGGCCCGUCGUUGCUUUACUGGUAGAGACUAACAUCCUACCACCAAAGCACAAUGAAGAGCUAUUAGGAGUGAAGACCAACAGGAAGGGGGAGGUUGUCUACGCCAAAUACACAAUCAGAGAUCGUACCUACUUUGAGGGGGUUCGUGCUCAUCCGACGAAGGUCAAAUUUAUCCCCCCAAAGGAAGCCCCAAAGUCCACCAUGGUUGCAUCCAAGACUCCAUGAAAACGCUGCAAGACGAUGGCAGACUUGGAAAAGGAGUUAGCUGAACAACGCGAAAUAAUAGCCUCACUAGAAGCCUAACAGCAUGUCCAAAGUAGAUGCAUCGCCCACAAUGAUAAGCGGGUGCUAGCACUGGAGCAUAACUCCACCGCUAUGAUUUAGAGAGUGAAAGCUUUAGAACACCCUAAGAAGUAGGGUCGAUUCAUCUUCGCAUCUGAUAGAGCAAGUGUGAGUUAUAUUAAAGUUUGUUUAAUUUUAAGUUUGAAGUUGUAAUAAUAAGCCCUACAUGAGGACGAUUAAAAUGAUUAUUAUUAGAUAUGGCUUAUCUCUCUUUUGUCUCUCUCUUUUGUCUCCACCAUGUUGUGAAUGAAGAAUAACAGGAAACCAGUGGGGGGGAGACACCCGACGAUCAAAACGAACGAAUUCUCGCGAAACGAUAAAAAUAUUGGAGAAGACAUGACACGAAGACCGCACUCGAUGAAGCUGACCUUGAAGGGCCACUAGCUAGGGGCGGCCACCCAACCCCCUUUGGGCGCCCGCCCAAGGGGUGGGGCCAUCUUGUUCUCGCUUCAAACCAUGGUCAGGUAUGAUUUCUUUAUGUUAUAAAUUGUUAUUAUCACUGUUAUUUUGAUUCAGAAUAAAAUAUCUCUAGUUAAACCACCCUAUACAUAAAUAUUUAGAAGAUAUUUUUAUUCAUGACCACAAGAUAGACUUACACCAUGAUAAUUCUUGGAAAUUCCAGUUGUUGUUGGGAACUUUAAUAUAGGGACACCAUAUCACUUAAGUUGUUGUGGAAAGAGAGAUAGUAUAAAUAUGAGAACUUGAUUUCUGAUGCCUAGUCAUUUAGUGAAUUUUACUUUCAAAACUCUUAAAACUACUAGCUAUACUUCUCCUCUAUAGCAAGAAUUAAUAUCCUAAUAGAGCCAUGCAUGAUAGAUAUAAACUAGCUCAUAAGUUAAUUGCUUUGUAUUGAGUUUUGUCAAACCUUGUUGACCUGUGUCGAGAGUAUUAUCAUGCUCCUAAGAUCAAGAUCACAUAAACCCACAUAUAUCUGUUGUUCCUACACUGGGAAUGUGCACAAACAUGCCUUUCCAUCCACAAAAAUAUUUUACUCCUACACUAGGAGAAAACACAAACAAAAUCUUGGUAGGAAUAAUUGCUCUAAGUUCUUUAAAGUCUUUCUCAAUAUUUCCUGGUUACAGAAGGGAGGAAUGUGGCUAUGCAAAUUAAAAAGUAUUAAAAAAAGAGAGAAAGAGGAAAAAGGACAAGUGUCCUAGAAAGAAAGAGAAUAAAAGAUAGCCCAUACCAUCCUGUGCAAAGACCAUCAAUGCUUUAGAGAAAGAAAGACAUUUUGAAAAGAGCAAUGUAGAAUUAGGAUUAGCCAUUAUAUAUAUUCCACACAAAUGCACUUCUUGAUCUAAGAGUAUGUUAUUCCCCUCCAUGGAUCUGAGUUUUGACUUAGCAAUAUAUGCAAGGUAAGUAUGCUAUUUCCUUGAAUUACCUUCAACUCCAUAUAAGCCUGUAUAGAGUAGGAUACAUAUGAGGCAUAUAUCAUACAUGCCUUGGUGAGUUCUACAAAUACCACCUACAAUGAGUGAUUCGAGUAUGCUACAUGAUGGAUGUUGACGGUCCUUAAGUAUCAAAUUUAAUUAUUAAAAUAAUAAAGAAAAGGAUCCAAAUGAAAUCAAGAUCCAGACUUAGGGUUUUAUCUGACAGAAUUCCACGAGUUUUGGUGUUUGUCUAUUUCUGCAGGGGGUUAUCAGGAAAUAUGGAAGAAAGGCCCACAUGUCAGGAUUACGUAAAGAUAUUAACGUGCUGCGCAAUUAUCUUACAUCUAGAAGACUCCAGAAGCCACGAGACCGAAGCGGAGGCGAAACGGGGCCUGACCCUGGGCGGCCGCCCAGUUGGUCAGGGCGCCCGCCCUGCCCCUGAGUCCAAUUAGGACUCUGCUUUGCGGGAGAUCUCCACCGAACUAAAGGAUGAAUCUAAACCAUACAAUCUAUGUCGGUUUGAUCCAAGGGCCCAUAUUCACUUGGAGGGACUAUAAAACCAGACCCCCUGGCCCCUGGAGGAGAGAGCCUCUCAACCCUAAUUCAUUGUUCCAUCAAGGGAGAAGAAGCCUCUGAUCAAGAUUAGAGCCACCACAUCAAUUAGAUAUCUAGAUUAGCAUAGCUACAUAGGAUUAGAACUAGAAGGAGUCAAUCUUCGAUUGGUUUCCGGAUCUGUCAGGAGGAUUCUUGGUAAUUCUCUAAUUGUGUUUCUAAUUACUUUCUAAUUAUCUUUGUUCUUCAAUAUUAUGAAUAUGACUUUGUUCUACUUCAAUAUAUUGCUUAUGACUUUGCUCUACUUGCUUAUAUUCAAGAUUAUAUUGUUCUUAGUUUAUCAUAGUUAUGUACUUGGCUUAGUUAGAUUUGAUCUAUAUACAUGCUUAGGAUCGUAUAGUGUUUAUCCAUCGGAUCCAUGGGUAAAUGACAGAUAUUGUGUAGGCGUGGUGCUUAUACCGUAUUUAUCUGCGAUUGUACCCAAUAUGCCAGAUCGUGGGGUGGUUCGUGAUAGUGACAGCUUCAUUGAUUCUUAUAUAGUCCCCCUCUCGUGUAUUGGGCUGGCAGAGCAACAUUAUUACAGGGGAGUGAUUGCUAUGUUUCUCAUAUUCCUUGCUAAUAUCACUAUGCAUGGGCGUAGUCUUGUCUCGCAAUGAUUGCUAAGUAUGCUUGCACUAACUAUGAUAAUGCUAAACUAUAUAGUUGAGAAUAACUUAGGGAAUAUUCUUGUAGUUCGUUCUAAUACCAUGCUAAUGACUUUCUAGAGUAUCUAAUUGAGGUGCUUAUCAUAUUUAUUAUGUGGCUAGAUCAGAUUAGUUAUCCUUGUCACUAUUAUUAUUUCAUAUAUCUUUUAUGUGACACUUAUCACUGUAUGAAGAGUUAGAUAUAAUGUUCUCAAUUAUACAUGCAAUGAUAGAUGCUCAAUCUUAUAUUCUAUUCUGUAAUCAUUAGUGAUGAUUUCUAAUCCCUUCCCAGUGGUAAAAAUAUAAAUAACGAUACCUGGAAUACUUCCCGGUUAAAAUGCUACAUCGGUAUUAAUCUGUGCGCUUGCAGAUCCCAUUCAUUAUUUAUUUAGAAGAGCAAUUGCAUAUUUCAAUACCGCGUCUCUCAUGUCAUGCUGGGGAUGACAACUUGGCUUAAGUGGUGUGAGGGAUAGGUUUGGCAUUUUUGGCACCGUUACUAGAUUUAGAGAACUUAGUCUACUUUUGGUAAUGAUGUUAAGAAUACCCAACAAUGGAGAAGGGUAAGCUAAAUUUUUCUUUGUAAAAAUAUUAUAAAACUCUAUGUGACAGGGCUGAAGGAAAAGAGAAUUCUAUUUUGUACUGUUCCAUCCUCAACUUCUCAAAGUUUUGUGGUAGACACUUUGAAUCCCGUAGUAUAGGUAUGACUUGGAAUAAAUCUAUUGGUGAUGUCUUGGUUUGAGGUUAUUUUUAAAAUGAUCUAUCCUUUUUCCUUGAGGACGAGUAAAAGACAAGUGUAGGGGAGUUUGUUGAUGGUAGAUAACUCCUAAUUUUAACCGUCAACUAAACAUGAAAAUGGACCUAUUUGCAAGCACUUAGUAGAUAUAGGGUUAUCACUAAUAGAAUUCCACGAGUUCUGGUGAAUGUCUAUUUCUGCAGGGGGUUAUUGAAAUAAUAACAAAAGGAGGUCCACAUGUCAGAUUUACAUAGAGAGAAGACUCGAACGUCAACUCUAGAAUACUCUAGAAGACUCAGGAAGACACCACCUAAAAGGUAGGGCCCACUUGCCAUAGGGCAGGGGCGCUGUAAGGGGUGGCCGCCCGGGGGCAAGAGCCAAUCAUCUUCCACCUUGCGGAUCCUGCCUCCACCACCUUUGAGGAGUAAUCUUGAGCGCACAUUUAAGUCGGUUUGAUCCGAGGGCUGUGGUGCUUCCUAGGGGGCUAUAAAUAUGACCCUGACCCCACCUCUAGAAAUCAAUUCUGAAACCCUAAUUCAUAUUUUCUAGAGAGAAUUAGAUAGAGAGGGGUCCUGGAAUGGAUCUGUCUCUAUAGGGUUAUAGCAACAAGAGAAAUUGAGAGAGUAUAGGGUGAAGAUAGAAGUUGAGGAAGCUCGGCCUGUCGGUGUCUUCUUCUUUGUAUCUUCGGGACCAAGUCUCCUAACCUGAGGCUUGGUUCUAGAAUCGUUCAACAAUUUGACUUCUAAUACUCGUAAGUUAUUGUUCUUUGGUUUACGAGUUUACUUUAUUCGCUUCGCGUAGGGAAUAGAGUAAUUAUUCGUAGCGUAAGCAUGGUGCUUGGGCUAGGAAUACUCGUAGAUACUCCAUGUUUGGCCGGAUUUGUGGUAGCAUUGGAGGGAAGUGACAAUCCUUUUGUGUCUCUGUAAUCCACGUCCCGUUAGGAGAUAUAUGGUGCUAGAGUUAAGCACUUUAUGAGGUGUCUCUUUUCUCUAGGUACUUCCCUUAGAACAAUAUUUACACACUUAUCAUAGGUUAGAGGAACACUGAAGAAAGAGUUCUCUCUAUAUCACUCAUAUCUCACUAUCUUGUCUUGCAGCCCAUGGGUAGUAGGUAAGAUAAGGUUAGUCUUUUGCACGCUUUCUCCUAGUGGUAAAAAAAAUUAAUGUGAUACUCUGGACUUAUCUCCCGGGUAAAGUACUCACCGAUAUCCGUACGCUUACGAAUUAUUUCUGUUUGAUUCUUUCGUGUGUGUAACUAAUAUCAACAGCAAGGUGUCCUAAAUUUGUUUUGCCACAUCAACAUUCAUCACUCUAUUGUACUCAUUUUCAUCUAGAGCACUAAGAAAAAUACUUGUGGCUUGCCUGUUGAGAUGGACAACAGCUAGCUCUUCAUUUGUUGGCUCUUCAGGGUUCUCCGGUAGUUGAAAUCUACUGCACACAAUUUCCCCAAGACCACAGUGAAGACCAUUAAGAUAAGCCCUCAUCAAGUGCUUCCACUUGGCAAAGUUUGUCCCAUAGAAAUGAGGUAAUUUGCCCACGGGCACAUUGAUAAAAGACUUUUAGUCAUGGUUAGUCAAGUAAGAAUAAUUAAAGGAUACGGCUGCAUGUUUCUUUUUGGUGCUGCUGCCUUUGUCCUUGCUUCCCUUCUUCUCCUUCUCUUGCUCUUCUCAUUUCCCUUGGAAACAUAAUAUGAUGCAUCAUCAUCAUCAUCAUCCGAGCUGCUAGAUAGCUCACUAGAUGAAGCAUCAUAUGCCUUCUUUUCUUCUUGCUUUGUUCUUGCUGCCCUUCUCUUGGCUCUUUCUUCACGUAUGUGUCUUCUUUCUUCUUUUCUUUUUAGCUUCUCAUCAUGCUUUUGUUGUUCUUCUUUUGCUUUUCUUUUUGUCUCUCUUCUCGCUCUUCUUUCCUUCUUUAUUUCCACAUCGGUGGUCUUGUCAUUCUUGAGAGUGGUGUUGCUUGCUGUCGAGAGUGACAUAUCAUUGUUGCUGCUAGCAUCUUUGAAAAGCACACCACCAUCUUUUGGCUCACGAGUGAUUCUUGAAUCUCCUUCGACUUUCAUACUUCACGCGGUGAAGCGUAUCUGAAGUAACCAGGCUUUGAUACCACUUCUAGGAUCUCCUGGAAGGUAAAGGAGGCCUAGAGGGGAGGGGUGAAUAGGAAAAAUUUAACUCGAAGCUCUGUUAGAAUAGAGGGCGGCACUAUCGGCCUUCAACAAAACCGCAGAAAGUAAAGAGACUUUGCGGAAAGUAAGCUGAUAUUGUAAAUUCCACAAUCCUGCAAAAUGAAUCCAAGAUCUAGUGUGAAGACUGGAUACCACAGAAAUGUCUCACAAAACUAGAUUGAGCCACCAAACCCUAGAAAGGGUGAAACACAAGAGAUAAUCUACAAUAAGCACACAAGACUCAGUGAUUUAUAUCGUGGUUCAGCUCACCACCAAGGUUUGCCUAUGUCCACGUUGUUGAGAAAGCCACCAAAGGCUUAGGCUUGCCACAAAGGCUUACCCUACCCUCGUUCUCAAAUCAAGAGAGUCAACUCUUGAGGUGAGGGAUAAUUUCUUAGCUGCAAGACUAAGGUUACAAACCUCCCAAGGCUGCUACACAAGGGGGCAAGCUCAAGGGCGACGCCUAGCCGGCUAGGAGCAAGCUCCAAGAGUAACAAACCUUAAAACCGUCGGCCAAACGUGAACCAAAUACUCUUAGACUUUGGGAAUCAAUGGAUCUACUCUCCAAUCAAGUUUUGCUGUUGUUGGGUAUUCUUAACAUCAUUACCAAAAGUAGACUUAGUUUUCUAAUUCUGAUAACGGUGCCAAAAAUGCCAAACCUAUCCCUCACACCACUUAAGCCAAGUUGUCAUCCCCAGCAUGACAUGAGAGACGCGAUAUUGAAAUAUGCAAUUGCCCUUCUAAAUAAAUAAUGAAUGGGAUCUGCAAGCGUACAGAUUAAUACCGAUGUAGCAUUUUAACCAGGAAGUAUUCCAGGUAUCGUUAUUUAUAUUUUUACCACUGGGAAGGGAUUAGCAACCAUCAAUAUUGAUUAUAGAAUGGAAUAUAAGAUUGAGCAUCUAUCAUUGCAUGUAUAAUUGAGAACAUUUAUCUAACUCUUUCAUACAGGGAUAAGUGUCACAUGAAAGAUAUAUGAAGUAAUGAAUAGUAACAAAGAUAAUUAAUCUGAUCAGCAUAACUUAGCCACAUAUAAAUAUGAUAAGCACCUCAAUUAGAUAUUCUAGAAAGUCAUUAGCAUGGUAUUAGAACGAACUAGAAGAAUAUUUCCUAAGUUAUUCUCAACUAUAUAGUCUAGCAUUAUCAUAGUUAGUGCAAGCAUACUUAGCAAUCAUUGUGAGACAAGACUACGCCCAUGCAUAGUGAUAUUAGCAAGGUAAAUGAGAAACAUAGCAAUCACUCCCCUGUAAUAAUGUUGCUCUGCCAGCCCAAUACACGAGAGGGAGACUAUAUAAGAAUCAAUGAAGCUGUCACUAUCACGAACUACCCCACGAUCUGGCAUAUUGGGUACAAUCGCAGAUAAAUACGGUAUAAGCACCACGCCUACACAAUAUCUAUCAUUUACCCAUAGAUCCGAUGGAUAAACGCUAUAUGAUCCUAAACAUGUAUAUAGAUCCAAUCUAACUAAGCCAAGUAUAUAACUAUGAUAGACUAAGAACAAUAUAAUCUUGAAUAUAAACAAGUAGAGCAAAGUCAUAAGCAAUAUAUUGAAGUAGAACAAAGUCAUAUUCAUAAUAUCGAAGAACAAAUAUGAUUAGAAGAACAAUUAGAAGAACAAUUAGAGAAUUACCAAGAAUCCUCUUGACAGAUUCGGAAACCAAUCGAAGAUUGACUCCUUCUAGUUCUAAUCUAUGUAGCUAUGCUAAUCUAGAUGUCUAAUUGAUGUGGUGGCUCUAAUCUUGAUCAGAGGCUUCUUCUCCCUUAAGGAAUAAUGAAUUAGGGUUGAGAGGCUCUCUCCUCUAGGGGCCAGGGGGUCUAGUUUUAUAGUCCCUUCAAGUGAAUAUGGGCCAUUGGAUCAAACCGACAUUGAUUGAACGGUUAUCCUUGAUCCUUUAGGUCGGUGGAGAUUGAUCCCGAAAGAGAGUCCUGAUCCAACUCUGCAGGGGGGCGGGCGCCCAGGUCAACUGGGCGGGCGCCCAGUGCUUGGCCCCUUCGGCCUCCGCUUCCUUCCCGUGGCUUCUGGAGUCUUCUAGAUGUAAGAUAAUUGCGCGGCACGUUGAUAUCUCUAUGUAAUCCCGACGUGUGGGCCUUUCUUCCGUAUUUCCUGAUAACCCCCUGCAGAAAUAGACAAACACCAAAACUCGUGGAAUUCUGUCAGAUAAAACCCUAAGUCUGGAUGUUGAUUUCAUUUGGAUCCUUUUCUUUGUUUAUUUGAUAAUUAAAUUUGAUACUUAAGGACUGUCAACAGCUGCCUUUUCUCUCAAGGAUUGAUGGUGGGAAUCCAAGAUUUGCUUGAGGGGUGAAGGAGCAACAAUGGAGGGAGAGAGAGAGCUCUGGCUAUCUGAACUCGAUAUGUGUCGACUGAGGUAGAUGAUGACCAUUGUGGGAUAAGUCUAGAGGUAUAGGUACCCCCUGGGUCCCAACGGCCAGAAAUGGGCGGCAUUGCAGCCCUGGUCAAACCAUGUAUUAUGUCAAACUGUUUUGCAGGCUGCUUUGGGUGUGAAAGGGGAUGUUGAUCUAGGAAGAUGAGCAUCUAGUUGCACAGUUGACCAACUAUUCUAUAAUUCUCUUUAUAGUACGAAUUUUGCUAAACUCAAUAAUAAAAAUUAAUAUAAACAAAUAGCUUCCUUCAGUUUGGAUCAACUCACAUUCACACUUUUGGAUACCUACAACCUGUUCAUCAUUCUCAAUAUUGAUUCCCUGCUUAUUAUCUCGAUAAAUCUCAUUAGCCCUCUAAUUUGAUGGUCAUUAACACCAAAACCCACAAUAGGGCUUGAUUGCACUUACAAUAGCAACAUUAGUAUUCAUAUAAUUCAUGUUCUUGAUUAUAAGAUUCAAUAUCUACUUUACUGAUAUAUAUAGUAGAAUGAUUUUAUUAUUGUAUUUAUGCAUAAGAUUGUAAAACACUUACCUUAAAGUACACGAGGUAAGUGGUAUGCAUUAUGUAAGCGUGGUGCUUAGAUAUUAUGUAUCUGCAGAUGCACUCUAUAUAUCGGGUUCUGAGGUAGUUUAUAGGUGUGACGGACCUAUUGAGUCCUCUAUAGUCCUUUCCCCUUAUAUAGAACAAGUAGGGCUCGUGUCGCAAUGGUUGUGCGGACUCUAUUUCUAAACUUAUUGUUGAUGUUCCUUAUGUGUAGAUGGGAUAGUAAAUCUUAACAAUGAUUACUAUAUGUUCUUGCACUAAUUGAAGUAUGUAUUGAUAGUAGUUAUAGAAUGACUUAUGAGUUAUUCUUUUAAUAGUCUAGUUGGACUAAGGCUAUUGCUAUAGAUAGAGUGCUAUCCGUUAUGAUGCUUGAUCCGUACUUAUUAUUUAUAUAUAUCUUUUAUCAUGUGACUUACCACUGUUAUGAGUAGUGUAUAAUAUUAAUUAAAUCUCUCAUACAUAAAGUACAAUUAUCAAUAUUAUAUAUUCAUGCAUAGUUAUAGCUUCAAAGUGGUAAAACUAUAAAUCAACAACUGGUAAUAAACUAAAUAAAAUUCAAUGGUAUACUUAUCUAUACGUAUUUAUAGUACGGAUAGUAAUCUUUGUGAGUAGAUAGAUAAUUGCUUUAAAAUCCUUUUAGGUGUAGAAAUUCUAUUAAAAAAUUAGGUUUGGAAGUACCAAAGAAAAUUACUCUAUCAAAAAGUCAGGUUUGGAAGUACCGAAGAAUCUACGGUUGAGGAAGAUGUGUGCCUAUGAGUUCGGCUGCAUAUGUUGGCUGUCUCGAUGACGCAGCACAAAUAUGACCACAGAGUGGCUGCCACGGUGGAUCCCGAGACCCGCGGCCAUCACCGCCCCCACCUGCUCCGCGUCCUCCGAUUCCCACCCGCACCCCACCACCACCACGCCGGAGAAGAAACCCGUAAGAAACGGGGGAAAAAUAAUUAGGAAAAUAAAUUUCAAAUCAAAGUCUCCUACACCCAGCGACGAAAACUCUGCGACAAUUCAAAUCAAAUCCAUCCGUGUCGAAUCGUGCCAGCGCAAACCCCGCGGCCGAUCCCCUGUGCUCUCGCCGCCCGCCUCCCCCGAUUCUGCAGCCUCUCGCUGCGAAUCUGGGCGCGAUUUCGAGGCUAGGGUUUGGGAGGCUCCGGAUCGCAGGGCCGUGCGGAGGCAAGGGUUUGGAUUCGGAGGUUGCUGCUGCGGGUCGGGGGUGCUGGAUUGAGCUACUCCGCGCCGGCUUGUGAUGGUGGUGAGCGGCGGUGGAAGACGAGUUGACGUCGGCGGCGGUGGCGGCGGUGGUGAGUAGGGUUUGUUGAUUGAGUUGGGGCCGAGGGCGCGCCGGCCAUGGUGCGGCUUCUCGGGCUGCGGAGCCUGAGCUUCGGGCCGGAGGAGUCGCCGCGGGAGAUCCCCUCCACCGCCGACGCGGCCCCGCCUGUUGGCAGCAGUGGCUGGCUCGUGCGCUUCUUCGACUCCGCCUUCUUCUGCGAGUGGAUCGCCGUCAGCUACCUCUACAAGCACGACCAUGCCGGAGUGCGGGACUACCUCUGCAACCGCAUGUACACGCUCCCUCUGCCGGGGCUCGAGGCCUACCUCUUCCAGGUCUGCUACAUGCUCGUCCACAAGCCCAGCCCUUCCCUUGACCGCUUCGUCAUCGACACCUGCGCCAAGUCGCUCCGCAUCGCGCUCAAGGUGCACUGGCUCCUUGCUGCAGAGCUUGAGCUGGAGGAUGCUGACGAUCUGGAUGGGAUCGACAAGGUGCAGGAGCAGUGCCAGGUUGCAGCGACCGUGCAGGGCGAGUGGCCACCUCUGGUCCGGCCUGCUCCUCCAUCCCCUGCUGCCAGUCCGCGAGGUAACCCCAUGCUCAGCAGAAUACGAUCGUCCAAGCAGCGGCUAUUGUCCCUCGCAUCAUCGCCGUCACUUGGACUGAGCCCCCCUGCUGGUGGUGGGGUCAAUGUUGCCGAGGAUGCUAUGGGUACUGGAGGGAAGCAGCCAGCCACACCCUCAUCAGAGGAUAACAAGUUGCUUAAGAGACUGAGCAUUGGUCCAAAAAUGCGCGAUGCAUUGCUCUUCAGACGAUCAGGAGAGAAGGAUGAAGAACAAGACCGGGAUGGGUUUUUUAAGAGGCUUCUUAGGGACAGCAGAGACAAGGAUGAUGAUGAUGGGGACAGAGAAGGAUUUUUCAAAAGGUUACUUAAGGAUAGCAGGGAGAAGGAUAAUGAGGAGGAAGAAGGUGAUAGAGAUGGUUUCUUCCGCAGAUUGCUCAGGGAUAGCAAGGAGGAGGACAUGGAACUGACACCAAGCUCAGAUGGUCUGUUGAAGAGACUCUUCCGUGAUAAGGAGGACAAGCAAGGUGAGGAUGAUGAGAAGGAAGGGUUUUUUCGCAGGAUGUUCAAGGAUAAGAAUGAGGAGAGGAGAGAUAGCAUCCAUGCAAGACAUGGGGAUGAGGAAAGAGUGGGCAAGAGUGUGGAAGAUGAUGACAAAGAAGGUUUCUUCCGCAAAAUUUUCAAAGAUAAGAAUGAGGAGAGGAAAGAUGAAGGGCAUCAAAAGCCGGAUGAGAGGGAAAAGGUUGGUGCGAAUAUAGAAGAGGAUAAGAGAGAUGGGUUUUUCAGGCAACUCUUUAAGGAUAAAAAUGAUGAGAAAAAGGAAGGCAGCACACCAAGCAAGAAAGAGGAAGAUGAUAGAGGCCAUAGAAAUGCUGAUGAUGAUAAUUUCUUCCGCAGGCUUUUCAAGGAUAAGAAUGAAGAAAAGAAAGGGAUCGCUCAUGACAGGAAUGAAGAUGACAAGUGUGAGGAAGGUGAUAAAGAAAACUUCUUCCGCAAAUUUUUUAAGGAUAAGAAUGAGGAGAGGAGAACUGAGGGGCCUGAUAAAAAUGAUGAUGAUGGUAAGGGUACUAGUGGUAUCGAAGAGGAGGAUAAUCCAGAGUUUUUGUCAUUCCGUAGGUUGUUUAGAGUGCACCCAGAAGAUUCUAAGAGUGGGGUCAUAGAAAGCAGUCAAUCUAACAAUCUUUCUGAGGGGAGCCCAGGAUCAGAAAGCUUUUUUAAGAGGCUAUUCCGUGAUAGAGACCGCUCACUUGAAGACUCUGAGAUUUUCGGCUCAAAAAUAGCAAAAGAGGCAAGGAUCUGGUCUCAUAUUAUUUUUCAGCUUGAUAGCUCCUGUGUUCAUGUUAUAGUAGUAUAUUAUGCCAGUUUUUAUAUCUUGUUUUAUUUACAGUGGUUUCCUUUUGCAUCUGUACUCAUCCUCCUAAUUGUGGUGAUAUGCGUUGCAGAAACACCCUGGUAGCACAGGAAUCAAUGAGAAGCAAAGUGGAAAACCACCAUUACCAAUUAAUGCAGUAGCAGAGCUUCGAAAAGGUUCUUACUAUGCUUCGUUGGAACUUGUUCAGGCUUUAUGUGAUACAUCUUAUGGCCUGGUAGAUAUAUUUCCUAUUGAGGAUCGUAAGAUUGCCCUCCGGGAGGUAGGUCAAACACAUACCAUGUAACUACAUGGCUAUUCAUUUCACAACCUUUCAGUGAUCCUGUGCCAGUUAUUGUAAUCUCUUUGGACUUUGCACAUUCUAACUUGUACCCUGCAAUGAUAUCUUCUUUUAUGUGGCAGUCUCUUACAGAGAUCAAUAGUCAGAUUGCUUCUGCCGAAAAAAAUGGAGGUUAUUUCUGCUAUCUUAUUCAGGAUAUCUCCUGAGUUCUUUGCAUUUUGUUCACUGUAUACACUUUUGUUAAGCCUUUGGAUAUUUGAAUUUUUUUGGAUUGCAUUACUGGUAAUAUUACAUUAGCAUCUUCCAUUGUAAGUUACAGGAUGUACAUUUAUAUUUUUUUGCCUUGUCCAUUUGUGUCUGAGGUUUGUAUAGUUCUGUUUAUUAUAUGUGAAAUGUUUUUGAUGGGCAGUCUUUAAAAAAUAGUUUCAGUAAUCUGCAUACAGAUUACUUGAAUAGCCUUUUUGAUAGAACUUGGUCUGUUAUAUUUUUUUUCGUGCAUCAGUUGCCAUUACCAUUUUAAGCACAGUAUUUAGUUUUUUUGGGUCUGCUGAACAGUGAGCACCUAGCUAAUUUACAGAUUGUGGCGGUACUGAAUAAAAUGCAUAAGGCAUCAGAGCAAUAUGCCUAGCCAUUGCUUUGUGUUAAAGAACAGCACUCUCUUCUUGUGACUCGAAGCUCUGAGCCAAUUUGUUCUUUUUUAGGUUUAUUUACAUACCAUAGCAUUGGGCUAAUGCUCCAUUAAUAUCUACAUAUUGCAAAGCACCAGCUAGAAUAACCUCAUAAUAUUUUCUUUAUUCUUCUGUGUGUAGGAGUAUGCUUUCCGAUGGGAAAGGGCAUAUAUCGAGUGGUUCAUAUACCUGAAGAUGAGUCUGUUCUUCUGAAUUCUAGGGAGAAAGCUCCUUACCUUAUAUGUGUUGAAGUUUUAAAAGCAGAAGCUCCUAGGUAUGCUGGUUUUUUGGAUGUUCAAUGAAAAUGAUGAGUCUUUCAUAAACCUGGUCAGGCUUGUUGUUAUACUAAUUUUUAUUUGUAUAUAUGAGGCUAAAGAUACAUAGCUCACAACUGGAGUUUCUGUUGAAAAUUUUGUAUUUGAUAAACAAUGAAAUGGUGGUCUUUGUCACUUUGUUACUGGAAGGGAUCCUCUGAUGCAUCUGCAACCUGACAUGGUCACAGACAUGCGGGCCAGCUGGGCGUAGGACCCACCUGCCAGUGACCAUGUUAUGAUGUGGAGUUAUGUCAGGGGUACCGUUUCCCCAAUCAGAUGUCAUUCUGGUAACACCUCUCAUUUUCUGUCCAGCCACUCUAAAGGAUCAUCCGAUGGGCACAAAUUAUCAAAAGGUGGGAUACCAUUGGCUAAUGGAGAUGUGCAACUACCAAAACCACCACCAUGGGCUUAUCCUUUGUGGAGCAGGCACGACACACAAAACUAUGAAACAGACAGAAUGCUGAAGUCUACUUCUCAGGUUAUUGACCAAGCAAUGGCUCAACUCUGGGAGACAAAAGUAAAAUUUGUAAAUGUUAGUUUCUCUAUUGAGAAACUUGGUCGCUCAAGGAGCAUUGCACUUUCUGAAACGGGGCGUAGGCUGCGACAUGAUGCUAUAGAUUCUCAUGAGCCACCUGGAGAUUCGCAAACAGUUGCUGAUCAGCCUAUUGAAUGGGUGAAGGUUACAUUGUCUGCAGUUCCAGGAGUUAACAUGGAAGAUGUAGAUGAUAAUGAACCAACACGAAAGAAGGACCAUCGCCGCAUUCCUAGUACAAUUGCCAUUGAGGAAGUAAAGGUGAGACAGACAUUUGAAUUUCUUUCAUUAGUGUUAAGUCUUACACUUCUUGUACUGCUAAUUUUGUUUUCCUGUUUCUUCUCUAACAAAUACUUCCACGUCCACAACUUGCACUUGUCCUAACAUUCUCCUUUGAUGAGUUACCUUAUUUGCACCCCACUGGUUGUGUUAUUGCUUUUAGAAACAAGCAACCUUGGAGCAUAAUGAGAUUGCAUGCAGCGAUGGCACCCAACUUACUGUUUGGUUACCUUUUAUGCUAAUAUUUGUUUUUGCUGGGUUAGGCUGCAGCAUUAAAAGGAGAAGCUCCACCUGGUCUUCCUCUAAAAGGAGUUGGGCAGAGCACCCAAAAUUUAGAUCCUAAGGUGAAUCCCUUGUAUUCUACUCCCUCUGUUCCAAAUUAUAAGUUGCUUUGACUUUUUUGUACAUAGAUUUUGCUAUGUAUCUAGAUAUACGUUAUAUCUAGAUACAUAGUGAAAUUGAUGUACUAAAAAAGUCAAAGUGACAUAAUUUGGAACAAAGGGAGUAGUUUCUUUUUGACCAAGACAAGAAGUCAAUAGCUCACAAUUUCCUUUUCCUGAAGGCUACUGAUGGUGGGGAUCCAAAACCAACCGAUGCUUUGGCUGGUGAGCUUUGGGCUGUCAAACGAGAGAGAAUUCGACGGUCUUCGGUUCAUGGAAAAUCACCUGGCUGGGACUUGCGCUCUGUAAGUCAAAUUUUGUUUUAUUAUUAGAUUUACUUUAUUACUAUUCUUAUAGACCCUUUACAUUCGUGGAUAGACCCAUGGAGGCUAUUUAUGUACACGAUUAUUACUUCGUUUGUUGGGCUUCUAAACAAAUGUUUGCCUCCAAUAUGGCAAAUGCUGUUUGCUAAUCUUCAUUAGAUAUAGACGCUGUACAAAAUUGUAUCAUAUUAUAGUUGAUUUUGUAAGUUUAACCAAAUAAAUUUUGCUGUACUUUUAUUUUGAGGUGAAAUAUUGCUGUAACCUCUUAGGUAGAACAUAUAAUUUAGAUUGACUGAAAUAUCGUUUUGUGAGGCAAACUUUAGAAGAGGGACACCUGUGGCAUUUAGCGGGGGCUAGAGGUUAGUGCAGUUGGAUGUUGGAUCUCUUGAGGCUGCUUGGUAGUUUGGUUCAGGUUGUGUUUUUGCCCGGUGUGAUUUCUUAAAGGGGAUCUUAUAAUUUUGCUGUAGAGUUAUGGGUAUGUGUAUGUUUUGGGUGUGUCGUGAAUAUUGUGUUUUGGUGAGUGGGUGUGUGUGUUGUAAGAGCUCUUUCCCAUUUUUUUUCCUUCUUGAUAUAAUGAUAUGCAGCUUUCCUGUUCGAGAUUUUUUUUUUGUUUGCAAUGCAAUGUUCAGUUCUCCUUUGUCUUCAAGGAAAAAAAAGUUUCAUAUAAACUCAAUGAAUAAUAUUGUGUCUUUCUAGGGAUGGAAAUGAUCAGAAAUGGUUGGUUAUGAUAGUUACUAUAUGGAAACUAUUCCUGGUCAGUCAGAAACUCACCAUAUUUUCAUUUUAACUAUUUAGUGACAGCAUCAAUACGGUACAUGAAAUUAGAAAUCAAAAGUUAAAAUAUGAAUAUACGAUAAUGGUCUGAAACGGUCAUAAAUGAUAUCAUCAUUAUUACAGAAAUGUCCCAUGAUAAAUGGGAUAUUCCAUUCUCGCUUUCAUCCCUAUGUCCGUCCAUCUCUGGAGGACUGGCUAACUCUAUCUGACUGUUGAAGAAUUUAAAUACUGAGAAGUAAAGCGACAGCUAAAUCUCAAGUGUUUCACGAAUGGUUGAUUCUGUGAUCCUUUUUAUGUACUAAAAACAUAGGACCAAUUCAUGUAAGCUGUUAGCAUUGUGGUUUUGUGCCUUUUCAUUCCAGACUCCAGAGUUAUACAGCCUGUCCAUUCCCAUUGCUUUUGGUUCUGAAACAUCUUCAAUUACUGCCAUGCUUCUGAAACAUUUAUUCCAACUGUAGAUUAUUGUCAAGAGUGGUGAUGACUGCCGUCAAGAACACUUGGCCGUACAGCUUGUUGCACAUUUCUAUGGUGAAAGCUGAUUCUCAUUCCUAUAAUGAUUUGUCAUUUUUGCAUUUGCAUUCGCAUUGUGCCUUUCUCCAUCAGAUAAAUAUGCUAUUUCCUUCAGAAAAUGGCCUUUUGGACUUUCAUUUCGUCAUGCUCUAGUUUGUUGUUUCUAUCGGAUAUCUGAAUCUUAAGCAUUUAACUUGCUGUUUUGACAUCUCCUAUAUAUGCAAAUGUUUCAAAAUUCAAACAGAUGCAACCAUGGAUUAAGUAUAUAUAUUUUCUUCCUAGGUAAAGCCAUGAUUACUAAAUGACUUGUCUGUAAAUGUUUUUGACUUUUGUACUGUUGUACAUAGAUAUAGCACCAGUUUCUUGCACACAGAAAUAGCACCACUCCUAUUGGUUGUAAUAUUUGUGUUUGGAACAGAAUUAAUAUAUUGCAGUCUCAAAUUUUUGAAUGCUUGUAUGCACUAUAUUAGACGACAGAGGGUGUAUUUUUUUUCAUUGGUAUGUUAAUUUUCUGUUUCUGCUCUUAUUUAAACUCCUGAUGUCAGACAUAUAUCAAGAAGCUGGUUUACCACUAUGGCUGCGGCCUUAUGAAGUGAUUGUUACUUCUGCUUAUACAGCACUAAUUGAGACUAUCCCUGAUACGGUAGGUACCUUACCUUCUUAACUACUACCAUCAUUAUUACUAUAUGUUUGGUACUACAAGUUUAUUUCUUGUUACUGCAGGCAUCAAUCCAUUCCGUCAAAAGUAGGUUUCCCAAUAUUUCAAGUCUCCGAGACUACUAUGUAGCCAAGUAUGAAGAGAAUUCUCCAAAUUUCAAACUUGCACAGGUGAGAUGCUACCUUUCGGGGUAGAAGCAAAUUAUAUCCUUGUGACUGGAGUUGGGUCUGUUAGCCUCUCCUUCGUACCUUUACUCGCACAGGUGACAUGCAGCGCUCAUGCUUGCAUUGUCUGAGAAAAUCAAGAUAUGUAUAUUUAUUCAUUUGCUUCUUGAAUGCAAAGUUUAGGUUUAUUUCAGUAAUCAUUAUACCAACUUGUCAAUCCCUUAUGCUAUGCAUGUCUAUGCAAAAAAUGUGUUUAGCUGCAUUUGCUUCUUAAUUGUCAUUUAUAAGAAUAAUUUUCAUGCAUUAUUCUACCAUGUUUUUUGUGAUACUUGAUAAACAACAGCAAGAAAACUGUACAGUGGGAUCUUCAUGUGGUCAAUCUAUUGUCAGCCUAGGAGGGUUAAUAUGAAAUCUAGUAUUGUUGAAACUCAGAAAGUCAGAACUGUUUUUCUUUUUUACAGAGAAACUUUGUUGAAAGUAUGGCUGGAUAUUCAAUUCUGUGCUACCUACUUCAGGUGCUGAAAUGCAACAUAUCUGGUAACUGAUUGAUGUCAUUGUUGAUACAAAUUCUAAGCCCAUAGCUGGUGUUCCUUUUUUUUUGUGAAUUUACAGGUGAAAGAUCGCCACAAUGGGAAUCUUCUAAUAGAUGAGGAAGGACAUAUUAUUCAUAUUGAUUUUGGUUUCAUACUAUCUAACUCUCCUGGAGGGGUAAACUUCGAGAGUGCACCAUUUAAACUAACAAGGGAACUCCUUGAAGUAUGAUGGAAGCUUGAAAUUUGUUUAGAUUUUUUUAUAUUAUAAAAAUGAGUUUUAAAUACUAAUAUAUUUUUGGGUUGAAAAUUUGCUAGGUGAUGGAUUCUGAUGCAGAGGGAACUCCCAGCGAGUUCUUUGAUUACUUCAAGGUAUAUUAAAUGAUAGACUCCCUUGGUUGUUGCUGGGGCUUGUCAUUUUUGUAUAGGCUAUAUAUUAAUUUGUAUUUCUUCAGGUCCUAUGCAUUCAAGGUUUCCUGACUUGUCGGAAGCAUGCAGAGCGUAUUAUACUUCUUGUGGAAAUGUUGCAGGUAACAUACUUUAUCUGUGUUGCCUAAUAUAUGUCAUUCAACUAAGUUUUAAAGGCAAAUAUUUGUUUAAUGCAAACACAUUUUUAGCUCAACAUUUUGUGAUGGAUAUCGGUAAAGAAUUAGUUCAUUAGAUCCUUUGACAGGUUCUCCAUAUUGGCCAAAAGUUCCACUCUCAAUUUUUAUCCAAUACGAACUUGACUUUUUUUGCUGUGCCAUGUAAUCUGACCUACUACAGUGAAUCUGUUUUCUUGCAUUCAAGCAUAUAAAUUGAUUUGAGUUAACCUUUUUUGUAUGGUGUAAUGUUACCCUUGCAUGUCUGGUAUCUGGCAUGCUGUUUACCUAUAAUUGUGUUCAUUAGCUUUUUCUCUGAUUUGGCUAGUAUGCAACAAAUUAUCUUACAAGUAUUAUAUUGUGUCCCCUUACCAGGAUUCUGGCUUUCCAUGUUUCAAAGGUGGCCCUCGCACUAUACAGAACUUGAGGAAGAGGUUCCACUUGAGUCUAACUGAAGAGGUUUGCAUACUAAUCUUUGCUAGUCAUCAUCAUUCCUAGAACUUUUUCUAACUAUUACCUUACGAUGGGUGCAGCAAUGCGUAUCCCUGGUGCUCUCACUGAUCAGUAGCAGCAUGGAUGCUUGGCGCACUCGGCAAUAUGAUUACUACCAGAGAGUAUUGAAUGGAAUUUUAUGAUUUUCCCCACAAGAGUCACGGAUUCAUUCAGAAACCAAACUUCUUGUAUCCUUGGAGCAAACCAUGGGAUUGCAUAGGUCAGUUUGGGGCUGAUCUAUACUGGGUAAUUGAGCACUGUGUUUUCAUGUGGCAUUGCACAUUUUUGGUCAACUAGGGAAACAGAUUGGUGCCUGCAUUCUACUUUCAUGUGAUCCCCCCUCUGACAGAGUUAAGUGUACAGUCAUCGGCAGUUAUCUAGUUAGUGCUUUGUGCUAGGAGGUUGCGACUAGUGGAGCUCUAUUUGGCAUAUUGGAAUUUGGAACCCGAGCUGCAUUGUUGUACAGACCUUUGGUUGACGUAGCUUGGACAGGAUGUAGGAGAGGACUGGGCCAUACUUUGAAGCAAACAAGUGUAAAUUAUAGGCAUAUGGGAGCUGGGGAUAAUCCGAGGACAAGAACAGAUAUGCCGUUCGAAGUGUCACUGUACUGAUGUCCUGUGGUAUCCCUAUAGCGCCAAAGUAGAUGGAGAUGUGCUUUGCUGCAUUUGUAAAUUACCAAUACUGUACAGGGACCAUACUAUAGGAGCUUUCCGUUUUUUAGUUGUUAAGAUAUUAAUUCCUUUUGUUGUGGCUGUCUGGCCUACGAAGAUCUAGGUGAUAGCUUGUUCACUAGCAGUAUGAUCAGUGUUUGGUAUUUUUUGCUAUUUUUUCCUGUGGCCCUAGCAAAUUGCAAUGUGGAUACAAAAAAUACAUUUCCUUGUGUCAUGAAGAAAAACACUGCAAUAUUUUUAGUACAUUUUGCUGUACCAUGAGAGAUCAAAUUUCUUUCUUGUGCAAGACUGACGUGCAGUCUGAAGUUUCAUAAGAGUGGUUGCUAUGUAUGGAUCAGGUUCAGGUAGAGACUUAUAAUGCUGUGAUAAAAUUUAAUAUGACUAAUUAUGUUAAAUUUAUGAUAUUUUAAUUAAUAUGGUCAAUGAUGUAUAAUAUAGAUUUUAGCUAGCCGAAGCCCGUGCGUUGCUCUGGGUGAAAGAAGUAUGUUAAUUCAGUUUGUUGCUUCAAUAAAAAGGGUUUUUUGAAACGACGUUGAUGCCAAUAAUGAAGUAAAAGCGCUUCAAUAAAAAGGUUUUUCGAAAUGAUGUUGAUGCCAAUAAUGAAGUAGAAGCGACACAUGAUCUAUUAAGUGGAAUGAAAUAUUAGCAAGGGAAAAAUCAUAAAAUUUUAAAAAUUAGGGUAAAACCACAAUUGGUUUGCUCGAUGGGACAAGAUCAUAAUUUUAUAUUUCUUUACUUUGUGAAUUAAUCUUUACGUAUUCAAAACAAAAUAUCACUUUGCUCCUAUUCUACCAUCCUUGCUAACGGUGUUAAUUUUUUUUAUAAAAGGACAAAUAUUCCGAUUGAUUUCACCCCUGAUUUUAUGGCUAUUUAUGAGUUUACCUCUGAUUUAGAGUAAGACAUUUAUAUUGUAUUUUGACAAAAAGGUUAGGUCAGGUCAAAUAUAUUUAACGAAUUUUGCAAAGUUUUUUCAAACAGAUCUAAUAUUGAAAAAGAAAAUCAAACAAAAUCUUCUUUUGUGUACUCUUUUUAUACGUGUUUGUACGGUGCAUCGUGUAUAUAUUAGUUCAAAUCUGAAAUCUCUAUUUAUUGUGCAUAAAUAUGAUCAAUUAGAGAGCUGCAAUUGCUAUAAUCUUGUCAUGUCGAGUUUCUCUAGUUUUGUUCUAAAGAAACAUGUUAAAAUUCAAGAAGAGGAGCAAUGUUGGCUACUAACUAUAACCUGCCCUUCAACAAAGCUCAAACCCAAAAUGGUUUGUUGUGAAGGAGAGAAUGAUGAGGACAUGACACCUUUGGAUAUGACCAUUGAUUAUAAGGUGAGCUUAUUUAUAUAUUCGCAUAAUGAUUUUUAGUAUAAUUCACUUGGUUCCAUAUUACAUGUCAUUAUUUGCUUGUAGGUAUGAAUGUUCUCAAAGUGCAAGGUCAUCGAUGCUAAAUUUUUAGUUUGCUAGCGGCCCGACAGUACUUUAUUGGGAAGACCAUAACUCUUUUUUCCAGAGUGAUUUUCAAAUAGAUCUGGUUUGAGACCAUAACUCCUUUGUCCAGAGUGAUUUUGAGGUUCAUGCAUACUUGAUGGAAAGCUUAUUUGAUUCUCUUUCAAAUGGAUCUGGUUUGACCUCAAUAUCAUGUUAGCAAGGCCUCUAAAUCAUUAAGACAUGUUGUCGCUAUUUCUACCGAGAGCUACGUCAAUAUUAGGAGCUUGUUAUUUACCCUUGGAAUCCUGGGUCAAGUUGGAGCAUGCCCCAAGGAGAUGGAGAACACCCAAAAUAAACUUUUGGACGUCCUCUCCCUUGGCCACCACCUUACCACAUCGUUCCUAGAGUAAGGAAAGUAAGAGUCCAAACCCAACACGUUUUGGAAGUUGGAUUCAGGCUACAGAACAACCCCAAUUGGAUCACCACGACUUCAUAUGGAUGCCAAUUGGGACGUUCUCAUACUUGAUGGAAAGCUUAUGAAGUCUAAUUUUUAAUGGGUCGAACCACAUGUCCAUAUCUCUUCUGAGUUAGGUGUAAUUAUUGUUUUAUUAUUGAAACCUUUUCUGCUUACGGUGCCAUGUUACCCUAUUUUGGGUCAAUGGUCCAUGUAUCAAGUUGAGUCCAUCACGGACAUGUCCUAGGGUUGGAGGACGACUCUAGCACCCUUUUGGUCGUCCUCCUCUCUACUUAUUUGCCACUAGAGCCACCAUGAACAAUUUGGGUUUUAUUUAUAUUAAGUUUAGCUUUUGCUACUUGCCUGUAAGCAUGCGUGCUGGAUCAUCUGUCCGUCUUCUUGUAUUUAGAAUCCUACUUCAUAGGACAUUGAGGUUGAAACCUUCAUUUAUAUCUAGUAAUUCAGUACUAAUUCUACUUGUUCUUGUUGGUUCUUCGAUUGUUUGCAGGACAAGUGUCAUAGUGGUUGGGUGUCGCGCUCCAUAAGAUCGGGACAACCAUUGGGGUUGGUGUAUCGGUUGCUAAGAUGCAGUCUUAGAAGACUGUAGUCGGGUUGUGAAUGCCAUCUUGAUUCACCAAUCGAGUUGUCCCAUGCCUCUCAUUGAAAGAUCAGGCAAAAACCCUAACGGAUUCACAUCACUGGGCCGCGAGUGGAGCUGGGCCAGCGCGCGAGAGAAUGCAUCGGGCCUCAGCCUUAGUUUUGGGCCGAAAACAAGAGAGGAAAAGAUCUUCUCUUUAUCAUUUUUAUUUUCUAUUUUCAAAACCAUUUUCAAAAGAGAAUUUUAAAUCAGUUUGAAUUUGAAACAAAACUGAAAGCCCUAGUUUGAUUUUGGAUAAUUGAUGAAACCUAUGUGUACUAACCUUUGUCAUGAGUGAAAUAUAAAGAUAGGUUGGUACACACCAAGUGAUGGAGCUAGAUGAUGGUCAUGGUGAUGGAGGUGACCAAAAGAAAUUAUCAAGUGCUCUAACUUGGAAAAGAAGAAAGAGAAAAAUAAAAUGGGCUCAAGGCAAAGGUAUUUUUAAUAGGGCCAUUUUGUUUUUCCACUCAAGACACCUAGUGGGUGUGAGUGGAUUUAGGAUAGAUAACCGUACUAUAAAGAGGGGAAAUCUUUAAUUGCAAUGGUUAUCUAGUGCCACUGAAUAUGUUUCUCUUUUGCAUUUACCUAGCGCUUAGUGACGUUGUGAGCUGCAUGAAAAGCCUAUAAAAAUAUUUGUGAAAAGCUAAUUUAAAUGUCCAAUUUAUUUUGGAAUAUUUUGGUAAAAUUAGCUACUUGAAAAGGUGCUGAAAAUUCACAGAAGGUGAACUGCUGUCCAGCUGCUGAAACAAGCUGAAAGUUUUUGCAAGUAGCUGAAACAAAUUGGAAGCAGUCGCAACUAGUUAAAACUAGUGUGCAGUCCAACAGCAAGCAGGAGAAAGAAAGCUGGAAGUAGUUGUGACCAGUUGGAAUCAGUUAAAAUCAGUGCACAGCUCAACAGCAAGCAUAUGAAGGAAAUUGCAAGAAGCUGGAAGCAGUCGCAACCAGUUAAAUCCAGCGUGUAGGCCAACAGCAGGCAGGUGAAAGUCAGUUGGAAGCAGUUGCAGCUAGUUGGAAUCAGUUGAAAGAAUUCAUAGCUGCUAAUUGUUGUCUGUCUCGUGCGUAAGAAGGAAAUGGCAGAGACCAUACUUGCAUGCGUGCAUGUGGUGGAGCUCUUGCCAUAAUAAAUGAGAGAGAGAAUGAGAAAGGUGAUUUGCAUGGCUGCAUGCAAGUGUGAACACACCUUGAUAAAAGGAGGCAGCCAUUGACUUUGCUAUUCAUAGAGUGGUCCACUCAAGUACAAGGAGGUACUAAUUUGCUCUGUUGUGCACCUCGUCCCAUUUGAAGUGGAGAAGUGGCAGGAGUGCAUGCGCAUGGACUGCAGGGUUGCAGCUCUUUGCCACUUGUUCAUUUAUUUGAUGGGACCCGUUGCUGAGAAAAUUCAGAGAGCUACUCAGUGCCUGUGUUGCUGCCCGUUGUGGCAAACGGUACUGUAGUUGCCUGUUGGGAGAGCUGGCUGGCCAAAUAAUUUAGGCCGAGCGCUCCACUUCCUUUCUCUCGGUCUGGCGAAUACAGAACAAAACACUUCACUCCUUUCUUUCCAGAGAACAAAGAACUCGAGCUCCCCUCUCCCAUCUCUCCCAAGUGCUAAUCCUACGAGAGAUUUUUGAGAGGCCUGCGUGAUUGAUCCAGUGAGCUCGUGAGCAUCUCCUCCCUCUCCUCUCCCUCUCAUAGCUUGGUGCUCAUCUGAGAGAGGAUUGAGGGUAAUCCUAGGUGCAUUUGAAACUGCAUAUUUUGUGGCACUAGGUGAUUAUUGUGAUUGUGGAUCUCUUAUUACUCUUGGUGAUUGCCGUCACCUAGACGGUUGUGGAUUUAUUGAUUGGUGAGGGGAUUUGGUGAUUGUGUCCGCCCCCAAUCAAGGUGAUAUUUGUAAGGGGUUCUUGGGCUUAUUCCCCGGUGGAGUGCCAAAAGCCACUUUAGUAAAUUGCUCGUGUCAUUGAGCUACCUCACUUGUGGGUAGGUUCUUGCGGUGCCCAUUUGUUGGGCUAGGUUUGUGAAACACCUAUUAGCCGCCGAAUCACCAAGUGUUGGUCGACACAACGGGGACUAGCGUGUCGGCAAGCACGUGAACCUCGGGAGAAAAAUAUUGGUGUCAUUAUUGUGAUUGGUAUUCUCCCGGUGAAUAUAUUGAUAUACAUUGUGAUUGGUUCAUCCUCUACACAUCGGUAUAAUUAUCUCUCUUCUCUUUACUUUCUUGCAAAUUAGUUGUAACUAGUAGAUCCUAGUUUUAGCUAGUUGUAACUAGUUGUAAAGAGUAGUGACAUCGCCAUUGCUUGUGCCUAGAGAUCAUAGCAACUAGAAUUAUUGGAUAGGUGGCUUGCAACCCUUGUAAAGCUAGAGCAAAAUUGCUUUACGCCUUUUGUUAUAUUAAUCCUUUGCUCUAGUGCCUUGUAGAUUUUUUAAAUAGGCUAUUCACCCCCCUCUAGCCAUAUUAGGACCUUUCAAAAACCCACUCAACACAAAAAUAAUAUGCAACAGCAUGUAUGCAAAAGACAUGUAGCUAGAUCUUAUAGUUGAUUUUAUUUUAAUAAAAAAUAUUAAUAUGCUAAUUUUAAUGCUCACAAAAUACAUAAAUAAAUCAAGUUUAAACCUAUUUAAGGAAAAGCAAAUUUUGGAUGUUACAGCCUGUUGUUGUAACAUGGUUCACGGUCGGCUACGAAUAAAGGAAUAAUACAAGAUCAAAUAAAUAUGAUCACCAACAUAGGUUUAGGGUUUCAAGUGACAGAAUUCCAUGAAUUUUGGUGAAUUGUGACUUUGCAGGGACUAAUCAGCCUAAAACAACAAAGGAAUCCUUGCAUGGCAUGAUUCCUUUCGCAAACCGAUCGGACACCGACACCAUAGGACUCUAGAAGACACAAGGAAACACCGGAAGAAGUGAGGGAGCGUGAGGCUACCAGGUGGGGCCGGUUGGCCCCACACCUAGGCCGAUCGGUCUCCUCCCGUGGCAAUUUGCUAUGAGCUUCUAGAAUGUUCCUCCACCGCCUCUAAGGAUGUAUCUCCACCAUACAUUAAGGUCGGUUUGAUCCAAAGACCAUGGUUCAUCCCUUCAGGCUAUAUAACUAGACCCUAGCCCCUUCUAGAAAUCAUAUCUCAAUCAAUCAAAUGAUUUGAAGAGGCGAAGGAUCAUUCAGAAACCCUAAUUUUGUGAGAGCUCCACCAAUUCUAUGGCAUAGCUAGAUAGAAUUAGAAUUAGAGGAGGCAAGCAUCAUUUGGAUUCUAGAUCUAGUUGUGAGGAGGCUUAGUAAACCCUAGUUUUUCUCUCCUGUAUCAACAUUGUUCUUAUAUUGUUCUAGUUCUUGAUACAUUUGAUAUGACUUUAUUCUUAAUCUAUAUCAUGUUCUUUGUUAUAAUGUUCAUUGUCUACUUUGAUUAUAUAUUUGGCAUAGAUAGUUUAUCUUUAUGCUUAUAUUCAUGUUUGUAUAGCGCUCAUCCAAGUGAUCCAUGGGUGAGUGAGCGUGGUGCUUAUACGUUGUUUACCUGCGAAUGCACCCUAUAUUCUAGGUCAUGUGGUAGAUUGUGGGUGUGACAUUCCCAUUGAGUCCUCUGGGCUCCACUCCCCAAGUGUAGGUUUUAUUAGUAAGAUGCGGUUUCAAGGCUUGGUUUUACUCUGCUUGUCAACCCUACUUUAGAAAUGUCUCUUUGCUAUGAAUAUGAGAUAACCUAGACAAUGAUUACUAAAUAUUUAUUGCACCAAUGAAUGUAUUCUCUAAUCUCUAUUCUAAUCAAUGCUAGCUAUAGAAUAGAAUGCUCUUAGGGUUAUCAUAGACUGCUGUUAUCAUAUAUAUUUAUAGUGUACCUUAUCUUUUGAUUGAUCCCUGUUAUAAGUAAAGGAUAGUGAUCUCUAGUUGCGUCAAGGAAGGAUGCAUAUAUAUACAUAUAGGUCUUGUACUGAGUUGGUAUAGAGCUAGGAUUUAUUAUUUUUGAAAUACUUAAUUUCAUGUGUAAAAAUAAUUCCAAAUAAGUCUAGAAUUAUUAUUUGUGCCACGAAAAAUACUCUAAAAAUCCUUAAAAUUCAUGGAAAAUCCCAAAAAUAUUUUGGAACAUGAGAAACCCAAAAAAAGUAUGUGGAGCUCAAGAAAAGAUAUUUGGAGCAUCUAAAAUUAUAUUAUGAUCAUAGAAAAGUGGGGAACAAGUUCAAGAAAAAGCCACAAAAAUUCCCAAGAAGUUUGUAGAGAUAGUUGAUGAAUGAUAAACUCAAAGGAAUAAUUUAGAGCAGAUUUCAGAGAUCUUGUAAAACUCUAAACAAAAAUAUUAAGAUAAAAAAGGUCAUGGCUUGAUUAUAGAAAAGACAAAGACGCCCCAAAGACAUAUCAAUGACCUACUGAACGCAUUUUGAAAGUUUUACUCACUCAUGACACAAAGUCAUGCAACAAGCAAACAUCACAUCAAUAUAAGACAAUCAAAUUAAUAUGAAAAAGUUUGAAACCGCAAUUUUCUAUAUUUAACUUAGCAGAGGCUUAAUUAAUCUUGAAACAUUUUAUGCAAAUGUUGAAAUUAUUUGUUUUAUUUAGUGUUUUCUAUGCACAACCCAAAAUUAGAAAUUUUGAGGUGUGACAUUUAAUGUUACUCAGAGAAAUAAGAUUCUUGCUCAGGUAUGGAAUAUGCCUCAUGUCACUCAAAGUUCUGACAAUGCCACCAUGCAUCUUAAUUUGAAUAGAUCCAUUGCCAACAAUAUCAAGAGGACUGUCAUCACCUAAUCUAACAGAAUCUCCACCUUAGAUAGAAUCAUAGGUGAGAAACCAAUCUCUAUUAAUGCAUAUAUGAAGUGAAGAAGUGGAAUCAAGAAUUCAUUCAUCAGCACUAUUUGCACAUCUAGCGAAAACAACAAAGAAAUCACCAUUCCAAUUAUCUGCCUUAGAAGCAGAAACGAAAGCAUUACCUUCAUCAUUAGGUUUACCUUUCUCUCUAUAUGAGUCAGUUAUCUUCUCUUUACUGUUUAAUUUACAAUACUCAGUUAUAAAAUGAUUAUUCUUCUUGUAAUACUUGCAGAAUUUAUCUCCCUUAAAAAUGAGACUUUGAUCGACCUUUAUAGCCAUUAGGACUUUUGCCUUUAUUGCCAUUAAAUUUAUUUUCUGUUCUCCCAAGAACAGACAAUGUUUUUCCAUUCGGAGCAGAACCUUUAGAAGACACCAUUUGUUUCAUCUUUUCCUUGGUAUGCGACGCCUCAGAAACCUCAUCAAAAGUUAGAGUAUCAUGACCAUAUAAUAAUUUAUCUCUGAAAUUUGCAAAAAAAACUAGACAAAGAGUACAAAAGAAUAGGACCCAAAUCUUUAUCAUCGUAAUCUACCUCCAUAACCUGUAGAUCUGUAACGAUCUCCUUGAAGACCGAAAGAUGGUUAAGCACAAAACCAUCUUCUUGCAACUUAUGUGUAUAUAACUUCAUCUUUAAAUGCAUCUUGCUUGUUAAAUUUUUAGACAUGCAAAAUGACUCUAACUUGAGCCAUAAAACAGCUACAGUAUUCUCCUGCAAACAAUCUUGCAAAAUGUUAUUUAAAAGAUAAAGCUGAAUUUGAGUCAAGGCCUUACAAUUUCUUCUCUUCUCAUCAUCGCUCUAAGAUUUUGAAUCCUUGUUACUGAAUUUAUCAAGAGCAUCAUCCACUUCAGCCUGCUUAAGAUGAGUCCUCAUCAUGACUAGCCAUAGAGCGAACCUUGUGUCUGCGAUCCAGUUAAGGAAUAUCAUAUUUCAUGAAGACAUAGUGAAAACAUAAUAGCACUAAUCAGAAGAAUAAUAAUCUAUAGAAAAACUGGUACACCCUAUGUGCACAAAAUAAUAAAUCUGCAGCUUGGUAUACUUGUUGUGUAUAAUUGGCAAAGAUCUGCCGACGAACAAAUCUCUUGGUACGAAUCCUUAUUUAUACUUUGCGAAAAUUGGUGAGUUCAACAUCCACCACCAACAGGAUGUGCGUGUAGCACUUGCCCUCGAUGUGCGUGCACAAGGGCCAAAAGCACUGCGUCAACAGCUGACAACAGGGGACAACAUAGUAGACCAAUCUGAUGACAUCGUCUCGUUCACGGCAUGAAAUCAAACUCACGGACGGCAAGGAAUGAAGGAACAGUGCCAAUUGAACUGUGCCUGUUCAGUUCACAAUCUCCGACAGGUGUAGAUUUGAGACUCCGCCUUGGACUCGUUUGCGGAAACACUACAAGUUGCCGAUACACGACACCGAUGGAGAGCACGAUGAACACAGCGAGAUCCAAAUGGACGAUGACCACUCGACGAGCACCGGCGGCGGGCAAACAGGGUGUAAAACCUUAAUAUUUUUUUAACAGAAAAAGUUUAAAUUUCUCCUCUAAGUUUAGUAUAUGUCCAGAUUACCCUUAAACUUACAAUUGAUUCAAUUUACUUCCUCCAACUAUUUCAGUUGGUCUAGUUUACCCCUUAACAUGAUUUGUUAUUUUAGUUUUUUCACGUAUUAGUUGAGUUUUAAUAUCAACUUUUGUGAUAUAAUAGAGAAUAAUAUCAUAAGUUAUGUUAAAACUUUUUACGAAAAUUUUGAUAGCUUAGAAAAUUUAACAAUAAAUUAACAAUAGGGAUACAAUAUCAUAUAAAAUAUAAUGAGGAAAAAUUUAUAAUGUAUUUUUCUAACACAAAAUACAAUGUCCUCUAUCACCUCGCAAAAUUUCAAGCUAAAAUUUAAUUUGUACAUAGAGAAACAAAAUAGAAAAAUCUCUUUAAGGUGUUAGUUGGACCAACUUAAAUAGGUGGAGGGAGAAAAUUGAACCAAAUAUUAGUUUGGGGGUUAUUUGAACAUAGACCAAACUUGAAGGGAGUAAUAUGGACUUUUUCCUUUUUUAAUCUCGUGUCUGGCUCUAGAUACCACUUAAUAGAAAAAAAUACGAAUAUAGAUCGAACACGAGACACAUUUACAUAGAAAACUCUUGUGGGGAAAACCACGAGUGUCAACCAGUUUAUGGAACACAGACAAUAUGAUGAGUUGUUUCUCUCAACUCUUCUCAUAUAGCUUACAAAAUGUAUUUAUAGGACGCACUGACUGCAGUAAAAUAUACAAAGAAAUUCGCUAAUAAACAUAACCCCAACUGUGAGCCCUUGAGACGUCCCUAUAAGACUCACGUUAAGUCAGUGGCACAAGCUUUGCCGACUUAUAUUAUGAGCGUUAUUAAUAUCCCUUUGCUCUUAUGUGAUAGUCUCACCUCCAUCAUUAGAGACUUCUGGUGGGUAGUGGUGAAAGGAAAUAGGAAGACAGCAUGGGUGGCCUGGCGUGACCUAACAGAAGAAAAUUUCACGGUGGACAUGGUUUUAGAGAUAUGCGGAUUUUUAACCAAGCUUUGUUGGCAUGUCGAUCAGGCGUGGAGGCUUAUCGAUCAUCCGGAUAGAUAGUAUGUGUGUGCACGUUUACUGAAAGUCUGAAAGCAAAGUAUUUUCCUAGAGGCUCCUUGAUUGAUACAGUGUCUCAGGCGAGCGCUUCACAGGCAGGUGAUCAUGUAUGGUUUUUCUGCCCUUAAGGGCAUAUGCUCCUACUCCCUUUACCAUUGGAUUCGUAUUGAGAAGUUUGCAAAUACACAUCUCAAUGCAGAUUCACUUUGAGAUGUGUGUUUGCGCACUUCUCAAUACGAAUCCAGUAGUGGAGGGAGUGGGAGCACAUGUCUUUAAGGACAAAAAUAACUUUACCAUCAUGUAUCGGCUUGAGCUAUUCAAUGGAGGGACGCAUGUGGCGAAUUAGCAAUAGCUUCAGUGUCAGAAUUUGGAGAGACCCGUGAAACGCCUGAGAUUUCUCUUGUAAAGUCACAAGUCACAACUCGAAGGGGACCAUGCCGCUUCCACUGGGUUUUAGACUUACUGGACUCGGCUAGACACAAUUGGAACUUCGACGGAUUGGUAGUGAUUUUCAAUCUGGCGGACUCUGUAGAAAUCACCAAGAUAAAAUUAUGAGAAAGGAGAAUUAAAGAUGUGCUAGCGUGGCAUCUAGAAAAAUCUAGCUGUUUCACGCUAUGGAGUGCCUACAGGUCGUGCAGCAGUAGAAACAGCUUCAAGCACGCCACCAAAGGUGUGCAUGUGUAACACGCUCUAGAGUCCAAACGGCUCAAAUUAACUUUGCAUGCUGAGCAAAUCACACCUACCACUAUCUCAUUUGUGCUUUUGUCUUUGGUUUAUGUAAAAGGAUUAACUCAAGGAUGGUGGCAUGGACUCUAGAGGCCUUAUAUGUUGAUCUAACCCACCUUUAACAACCAUGGGUCACCACGGGCCAAGUUCUAAACUAGACCAGUGUAACAUACACCCACCCCCUCAAAGGACCUGACAUCCUCGUCGGCCCAACAUACCCAGAACUGGGCAAACGAUGACCAGAAACAUUGUCUCUUAGCACACGUGACCGUACGUCUAGUGCCGACACAUGUGCCACACCGUGCACCCCGCAGGGCUUACACGCACAAUGAACCCUAUGUACGCAACCCCUAACCCACACGUGCCCAUGGCCGCGAAGGUCAGCUCUGAUACCAUUUGUAAUGCCUCAAACUCCAAAUAGUUCAAAUCCACAUUGCACAAUGUGAGAACCACUUCUAUCACAACUCCACUUAUGCUUUCGUCCUUGCUUCGCGUAAAAGGAUUAACGCAAGGAUGAUGAUGAUGGACUUUAGAGGCCUUAUAUAUUGGUCUAACCCACCCUUAACAACCAAGGUAGGACUAAAUCCUUCAUAAUUAUCCCAUAAUAUGCACAUGGGCCACCAUGGACUAAACUCCAAAUUUAACCGGAUGUGAUAGCAUGUCUGCUUGGAAAUUAGCAAGAGAUGUGCUUCCUACAAAGAAGAAUAAGGGAUCGAAGAAAGCUUCCACGCCAAUUUAGAAUGUGUCCAAGCCAAGAACUUGCGGUACGCUAUGAGAGACCAUUGGCUACUGCUUCUCUUUGAUGGAUGCACGCCGGAUCAAGGGGGGUUGGUCUUGCUCAUGUUGUGGAGAGCAUGGAUAGUUCAAAAUUACAUCACGUGUAACUUAGGUUCGGCUAACUUAAUUGAAUCUAUCCAUUUCCUUUUGAGCUAUAGGAAUAUUGUGUUGCAGGUCCGCCAAAAUGACAUGCCAACGGAUACCAAUGGUAAAGGGCUAAAGGGUCGUAAUGGAUGCCCACUCGUGUUCUUGCACCUGACAACGGGAGGACGGAGAAGUGGACUCCCCCGCUAGCAGGCUAGAUGAAGAUGAACAUGGAUGGUUCUUUCGUCAUGUAAACUAGGAAGGCGUGCAUUGGUGUUGUUAUCAGGAAUAGCAGAGGUGAAGUUGUUCUGACAGCUUGGAGGGUCUAGUGCAUCAGCAAUUGAGGCAAGAGCUCAAGCAUGCGCGGAAGGGCUCCCGUUGGACUUAGAAUAGUGUCCAAGACCAAUUAUUAUGGAAUUGGAUAGUGCCACAGUAUUUGCUGCGAUGGUGUCCGGCAGCAUGGAUAGAUUCAAAAUCAAAUAUAUUAUCUUGGGAGUCAAGGAAUAUCUGCAAACACUGGUGGAGUGGAAAUUCUAGAAGGUAAAGAGAGAGUGGAACAAGGUCGCUCAUGAGCUAGGUUAUUUAGCUAGGUGAAAUACUCAUACGUCUACUUGGUGGAGACAGGAACUUGCGUGUGUCUUAGUCAUCCUAAACGAUGAUUGUAAUGUUUUGCCAAGUUAAAUAAAGCUCUUUUUACGCCACAAAAAAAUUAGCACUUGAUUCAUCACUUUGGGACUCGCCACAACAAGGCUAUCGUAGGUUGUCGGCAAGCAACUGAACCUUGGGGAUAAAUUCUUGUGUCAAUCACUUGCCCAUGUUGGUUUGCCUUCUACACACUUGUUCUUCACAAUGCAAUUACUUACUUGUGUGUAGCUGUUUGCCUUUCUAGCUAUUGUAGCAUGGUUGUAGUUAUGGAAAUUAGGUUCAAGGUUCCUGCUUUGUUGAUAAUUGCUUUACAAGCUCACCUGCUAACACAAAGAGCAAAGGGGUGGGCAGGUCAACUUGUUUGAGCCGUCUUUUGCAUUUGGAUUUUUGGUCAGGAGCCCCAUUCAGAAUUAGCGAAGGCAUUGCUGAGGAGGGGAACAUGUGGAUCCACUGUAGCCAUUUAUCUAGAAAACCCAUAUGUUCCAUUACGUAGAUGAUAGUGUCAUGUUCCACUGUAGGCUUUUUUAAAGUAUAGUUUCAAGAUGACAACUCCUCGCUUGGAUUGGUGGCAUUGAUGGAUGUAUUUGGAAACUCCAAGCAAGGUAGUUCUAGAUGGACUCGACUUGUUGGAACCAUAUUUGUUUUGUUGUAUUAGAUUCAGGAUGACCCUCCAGAUACGAUAACUGAGGAAUUUUCAUCAGAAGCUUAAGGAUGCUCUUCAAGAGAGAAAUUGAGUGGUAGCUAUUGGCUCUCUUAGGGUUUGUUUACCUUGGGAACAAGAGAGAUCAUGGAGCUGUUGGUGCUUACCAUGUUGAUGUUACCUUGGUGAAAAGCUUGGCAUAGCCAGUAAAAGUCAUGUUUGAUUAUAUUUGAGCAUUUCUUUAUGAAGUUGCCAUUGAAACCAUCUAGGAAAGUGAUUUGUCAAGAGGCAUGUGUUUCACCCCCAUAACAAUUUCCUGUUCAAGGGAAGGUGCCAUUAGGGCUUGGAGAUCAUCAUUUUCACUGAACAGGCUGGGAAGAUUGAAGUGCAUCACAAGAUUCAUGGAGACGUCCACUCUAUUUUUGAAGGAGUUCCUAAUGAGGACAGCUUUCCCCUCAAGGUCUUGUAUCUAAACCGCUUCAUUAUUGAUGAGUUGCGUGAUGCAUCUCUUUCUAUAAGAGGCAGUAGCCAUUGCUCUAUGUACCACUUUUUCUAGAGCAUUUCAAGCUCCUUCUACUCUAGGACUUGAGGUCAUAUCUUAGAUUCCACUCUUGAGUUAUGCAAACCUCUCUUAUCAUCUAUAGAGUUGAGGAAAAGGAGGACUGAGUUGCAGUUGGCUAUGAGCACUUUGAGAUUUGAUAGACCUCUACUCCAGGAGUUGAGGUCAUAACUUAGAUUCUUGAAUUUCAUCGGUAGAACCGUAGUUGCAUCUCGCUCAUUUAGCAGCUGAUUCCAGGAUAUUUGGACUAGUUUCAUGUUCUGACCAGAAAUUUUCAAACCAAAUGAUGUUGAAUGAGAAAUUUUUGUACCAUCACCACUUUACAUGGGAUUAUAGUAAUAUGAUGGGUUGCUUUAGUAUAGACUUAGUUGUAU
rnacentral:lncRNA from 1 species